GUGGUGAUGGUGGUGGAGGUGGUGGGGACUUGUACUUGUAAGGGUGCUUGGGUGGUGAUGGUGGUGGAGGUGGUGGAGACUUGUACUUGUAAGGGUGCUUGGGUGGUGAUGGUGGUGGAGGUGGUGGAGACUUAUACUUGUAAACUGGAGAUGGUGGGGGUGGAGACUUGUACUUGUAAGGGUGCUUGGGUGGUGAUGGUGGUGGUGGUGGGGACUUGUACUUGUAAGGAUGCUUGGGUGGUGAUGGUGGUGGAGGUGGAGGAGACUUGUACUUGUAAGGAUGCUUGGGUGGUGAUGGUGGAGGAGGUGGUGGAGACUUAUAGUUGUAAACAGGAGUUGGUGGGGGAGGAGAUUUGUACUUGUAAGGCUUCUUGUGUGGUGGUGGUGGUGGAGAGUAGACCGGAGGAGGCGGUGGUGGAGACUUGUAAUGGUAAGGUGGUGGUGGGUACUUCUUAGGUGGUGGUGGAGGAGAAGAAUAAGUGUAAUCUGCUGAGGUUUCAAAAGGCAAAUUGAGAGACACUGCUAAAACUAAAAGAGUGAGAAAGAGAGAGGUCAUUGAUGACCCCAUUUUCCCCAUCCUUACUUCUAAAAAUGGGUUUAAUUUGGUUAUGCUCUUAGCAGCCCUCUUCACUCCCUUUAUAUAGACUUUGUUUUAAAGUUACAAUCAUGAUAAAAGUGUGAAGGUGGACCGAACCUUCAGCAGCAUUGAAAAAAGACGUUACGUUUAGGUUAUUAGCAUGGUAUGACAUAAUAAUUCUCUAUUCUCUUCCUUGUCGUUUCCCAUAAAUUUAAUUUAAAUAGUCCAUUUGCUAUAUUUAUAUUUCUGUUUCUCUAUUAAAUAUUUAUCAAAUUCAUUUCUCACUCCUUAUAGAAUAUGAAUAAUUAAUCAUUAAACUCGAUUUAGUAAAUACUUUAAAAAAUGAUUUAUCUUAUUUUUAUGCUUUAAUUAAGGCAUCAAAUCAUUAAUCCCAUUUGAUAUUAUGAAAAUUUAUCACUUAAUUGAUCAAAAUGUGAUUCUUGGCAGGAAAACAUAAUUUACUUUCCUUAAAAUGUAAUUUUUAUUGAGAGUUAUUUUUCCACUAACAAUAGAAAGUGAUUCUCUUUAUAAUUCGUGAAAAAAUUACUUUCACAUGUAAAUAAAAAUUGUUAGGAUAAAAUUAACUUUUCUUUUAUUUAUGUUAAGGUUACUAAUUAACUUAUUCAACUUUAAUAAAAGAUAAACAUAGUUGUAGCUUGUUUGUUGAUGUUAGUUUUUUGUCUUUACAACUUCAAACCAUUAUUCUAGUGUAAUUUUUUUUUCUUUCUAAAUAGUAGAUAAGUAUCUAUAUUUUAUUUUGCUAUAAGAAAAUUAUAUUUUUUAGCAUACAAAACUUAAGAUAACUUGUAGAAUCAAGUAGUUGUAUACCUAUUACUCUAGCAAUAAUAAUAUUGACAUUGUCUACUUUCAAAUUAAAAUUUCAAAUUAGUUCAUUGCCCAAUUUUCUCAUUAAAAAAAAUUAUAUAUAACAUGUCAACUUAACGAAACUUACAUGAAAUUUUGUAUGUGUUAAAAAUGAAAAAUAUGGCGGUUAUUAAAAAAGAUGUCAUACAUCUAAAUCAAACUACUAAUUUAAAAAUUAGUAUUGAGAUAAUUUCAAGCCAUAUAUGCAAUAUUUGAGUAUACUUGAACUUAUACAUACAAAUUAGUGAGGAUUAAAAUUUUGUAAAUUGUACAUCUUCACAAUCUUGCGUUAAUAUACAAUUUUUUUAAUGUAUUAAUAUAAUGUUUUAGAUCAAGACGUGAAAAAACAUAAUUCAAAUAUUUGUUAAUAGUAAAAAAUUAUUAAUAAAUAUUUAAUUCAAAAUUUAUUAAUAAUAAAAAUUAUUGAAAAAUAUUAAAUACGUUAAUAUUAUUUUUAUUUAAUAAUGAUACUUUUGUACAGUAAUCUUAUAUUCCCAAAUAAGUGUUAAAUGUGUCAAGAUUUUAAUCAAUACUUUCCGGUGAUUACCAAACGUUGUGAAGUAACUUCUUAAACAAUAAUAUUCUUAUCAAUCACAUUCCAUUAAAAUUUUAACAUAGAAAAGCACCAAAACGCCCCCUUAAAAUCGUGGUAAGUCUUGUUUGUCUAAAAUUUAAAUAUUUAUUUUAUUAUUUAAAAUAUAUUAAUUUUCUAAAAAAAAUCAUUAAUAUUUAUAUUUCUAAUUUUAAACAUUCUUUUGUUAAUUAAAUGAUAGUCUAAACGGUUAAACUCAAAUCGAAAGCAUUUUAUCUUAUAUUAGAUUAUAUGAAUCAUAUUAUGGUUGAAAGUAAAAUGUAUAAAAUCAAUACAAACAUCAAAUAUUAAACUUCCACUCAAUAGAUUUUAAAAUUUCUAAUUUUAUCACUAAUCUAUUUUAAGAUUUUUUUAAAAAAAAUCGUACUUUAGAUUAUCUAAUUUAAAAUUUUAUAAAAUUAUUAAAAAAUAUUCUUGUAAUAAAAAAAAUUUGUUUUAAAAUUUUUAAUUUUUUAUAUAACCAAUGAAUUUUUUACGUUUGUUUUAACUGGUUAUCUAAACAAAAUAAAAACUUAUUUAGUUUAAAUAAAGUGGUAAAUGUGAAAGCACCACAAAUCACAACUACAUUAGUUUUAUAAUUGGAUUAAUUUAAUCACCGGCAGAGGAAAUGUGUUAGUUCUAGCUACCAACAAUUCAUUUUAAUUCCUUUAAAAAUAUUAGAAAAAACCAAUUUGAUUUUUAAUAAUAGAUCUAAUUACUUAAAGGAACAUGGGUGAUGUGCACAUGGCAUACAAGCAUAAAAAAGAACAAAAAGAUUAAGUAUCUUUGCAAAAUAUCUCUCUCUGAAAUAAAUAAAACUUAAAAAAAAACAAUUUUAUUAUCAAAAUAAAAAGAAAAUAGUGUUUUUCUUCACAAAAAAAGAAAAGAAAAGAAAUACUAGUGUUUUUAAUUAAAAUAGAGUGAUCUGGGUAGAAUCUUUUACUUAAAUACUGACAUUGACUUUAUAAGCUAUUUUUUAUCAAAAGAAGAAAGAGAAAAGCAUCCGAUUGAAGAUGUGAAUUAUUAAGUUAAAAUUAAUCAUACAUGUAAAAUAUUAUUGUGCUUUUUUCUAGCCCUCCGAAAGACAUUAUGCUUUGAUUACAACAUUCUUCCUCAGAGAUGAGGUUUGAAGAUGAACUCGGAUGCAUUUAGAUUUUUACAAGACGAAAGUAAAUUAAAGGAUGUUAGUACUUGUAUUCCGAUACGCUUAUAAUACAGAAAGCAAGUAAUAUGUGACUGUACAUAAUGGCUAUGAGGCGAGGAUAUGAUACGAGAAGAUAGAGAUGAGAGAUUGCACUUAAGGGGUUAGCACCUCUUUUCUUUUUGUGUUUGGUCCCCAAAGCAUAUCUCUUAUUGGCUGAUGUUGCAAGGCGGUCCCAUAAGUUGGGCUAAAAGUGCUUGAUAGCUAGAAUUAAUAUUGUGGUAUAACAUAUGUCACCCCUAUAUUUGAAUAAGGUUACAAAGUGACUACUUGAAGAUUUAAAAAAGCAUGGAGAUAAUUUUGUUGCGAAAAUUAAAAGUAAGAGCUAAAUUGUUUGGCUUUAUUAGAGUAUAGACUCUGUUAGUCUAUUAUCAUUUUGUUAUAUAGGCUGGAAUAUUAUUAGUAAGCAGUUAGCAGCAGUUAGUCAUACAAGUAUAAAUUCUAUUCAUGUAUUGUUCAAAGAUAAGCUAAUAAUACCAGAAGAGAUUUAACAUGUUCAUUCUACUUUUUUUUGUUAUUCUUCAUAAUACAGUUGUUAACAUGGUCUCAGUCGCCAAAUUUCUUGGAGGUUGCUUCUAUUGUAGAUCCAUGGCCAAUUCCACUGAUUCUACCUUCGCUGGUCGUAGCAGUCCCUCAUUCUCAGUUCAUGUUUGGUUCAAUCGUUUCCUCGUCAUGGCACUGUGAAGUUAGAUGAAGGAAAUUUUGUACAAUGGCAACAGCAUAUCCAAUUGAUAAUUGAAGGAUAUGAACUCAUAAGAUUUUUAGAAGGGACGUUACCUGCUCCGCCUCGCUUUGUGUCAUCUCCGGAUGGAAACUUAGCUCUGACUCCCGAUGCAUCCCUGUUUGUUCAGCAAGAUAAGUUACUCGCUUAUUGGUUACUUUUUACGAUUAGUGCUCCUUUGUUUUCUUGUUUUACAACUGCUAAGACGGCGUGUGAGGUUUGGAGCACUGCGAAUUGCCUAUUUGCUGCUGCCACUAGAGCCAAGCUUUCGCGUAUUAAGCAUGAACUCCAGUCCAUCACGAAAGGCGUGAUGACUAUCAAAGAGUAUAUUGCUAAGAUUCAAAAUACUUGUGCGUUACUCGAGGAAUCUAGAUCAGUGGUUUUAAAGGCUGAAAAGGUAGAGAUCAUUCUUGCCGGCCUAUUGUCUGAUUAUGAUGUCGUUUUAACUCUGGCAUCGUUCUCAACUGAAACUUUUUCGUUAUAAAAGAUUGUUGAUAUGCUUCUGGAGUUCGAAAGCCAUCAGACUCAAGCGGUGAACGACGUACCUUUUCAUGCUCAUUUGGUAGAGGCCACUUCGGCGACAUCCGUGGAGGACUCCGUACGUGGUGGUCGUCCUCCUUCUGGUGCUCGUAGGCGCGACUUUCGAUCUCAGCUUCAGUGCCAGGACUAUGGUUGCUAUGGACAUUUGGUACAAUGCUGUUAUUAUCAGUUCAACCGCGACUACAGUGAUCUGUCUGUUUUGACCAUGGCGCGGGUUUCGCCUGUUCAUGCUGAUCACAAUUAGCAUAACGAUGUUUUUGGCGCAAGUGGUCUCUCGACUAGCUGGUUUUCAUCAACUUGUCCUGGUCCGGACCCGUUCGUGCCUGGACAGUAUGUCGAUUCUUUGGUGGUGACACCGGCGUAUUUCUCUUAUGGCUCAUCAUGGUGAGGGUGGCCACAUUUGCAAAACAAUGCCUCCCUUGUGCCAAGUUUGUUGAAUGUUAAGGUUUCUAACCCUUUUGCUCAUAAUUUUGACGAUGGGGCAGGCUAGGUGUUUGGGCUCGCUGUUGGACCAAGCUCAAAUUGUGGCCAAUUUGGUGGUCCUCACUUACCGCGGAGAAUGGGCCAGCACGUUAGGCCAUUUGCUAGUGUUCCUAGGCCGACUGGUUCAGGCCAAGAUUUUGGGCCAUAUGGAAUUCGUAGGCUAACCAGUGCUGGUCCUAACAUUGGACAGGGUUCACUUGGGCCAAAUGUUAAUUUUGUUAGACUUGAGGGCUCUUUUGGGCAUGGACAAGGACUUUGGCCCACCACUGGCAAUGUUUCAGUGCCAAAUAAUGGGUCAUGCGUUCCAUGGCGCACUAAACUGACGGCGCACAUUAUUGAUUGAUUUCUCACUGUGUGUUGGGUUGCCUCACAUUCUUGAUUUUCAUGUGUCUGAUAUUUUUACUACCUCUGGGUCCAAUGCUAACACGACUCCGUAUGGGUCUAAUUUUGAUAAUGAUAACUCUUACAUUCCUAUGCCUGUAGGGACCUUGUCCUGGUGUCUUAAUUCAGGGUCUAUACAUCAUGUCUAUCGAGAAGCCUCUACCUUGAACGAGUCUACGCCAUACUCAGGUACAUCUCCUCUCCUCAUGGAUGAUAUUACUCCUACAAAAAUAUCAUGUGUUGGAAACUCUAUCUUGCCUACGAAGACUAAGCUGUUUCAUCUAUCUAAUGUUUUGUGUGUGCCAAAUAUACGGAAGAAUCUGCUAUCUGUCUCUCAAUUUGCUAAUGACAAUAAUAUGGUCUUUGAAUUUCACCCGUCUUAUUGAGGACAUCCAGACUCAGGAAAUUUUGCUUCGGGGCCACACUCGUGAUGGGCUCUAUUAUUUUUCGUAGGUUACUCAUGUUCCGUCUGUCGUUGUUCCUUCUGUUCACAACACUGGGCUCCAGAGUCGCAAUGCCGGUGAUGAUGUUUUUACGUUAUGGCACUACAGACUUGGUCAUCCGUCUGCCUCGAUUGUUAAACUUGUUCUCGAUAAGUGUCAAGUUGUUUCAACUAAAAUGUACCUUGAAAAUAUUUGUAUUGCUUGUCAAAAGGGGAAGUCCCAUAAACUGUCUUUUUCAAGUUCUACUACUAAAUAUACGGAUUUGUUUGAAUUGGUUGUCUUUGACUUAUGUGGACUGGCAUCUGUUGUCUGUAGAAAUAAUCUGUAUCAUGUUUCGUUUAUCGACAUGUGUAGUUAUUUUACUUGGAUUUAUCUCAUUAAACGUAAUUCUAAGGAGGUUGAAUGUUUUCUUCAGUUUCAGAAAAUGGUCAAAACUCAGUUUGGGAAAGAUAUUAAAAAAAUUCAAAGUGAUUGGGGUGGUGAGUUUCUUGCCUUUACGUCAGUUCUGGCUAGUCAUGGGAUACUUCAUCACCUCUCCUGUCCAUAUACAUCCGAGUAGAACGAUGUAGCUGAACGAAAACAUCGACACAUUGUUGAGAUGAGUCUUAUUCUAUUGGCCAAAGCUAACCUAUCCAUGGAUUUCUGUGGUUUCGUAUUUUACAAUGCCAUUCAUCUCAUUAGUCUUCUACCGACCCUAGUUCUGAAAGGUCAGUCUCCAUAUCAGGUUCUUCAUGGUAGUGACCCUACAUAUGAUCAUUUACAAGUAUUUAAGUGUUGUUGAUUUUCGUACCUGCGUCUGUUUCUGCAACACAAGUUGGAUUUUCAUUCUCAGCCAUGCAUAUUUUUUAGGUAUAGUUCUCAACAUAAAGGCUAUCACUGCCUCACACCAAAUGGUAAGGUCAUUGUCUCUCGUCAUGUUGUGUUUGAUGAACGUUGGUUUUUCUUUUCUUCAAAUGCUGUGAACACCGUUCAGUUAAGUCCAUGUAUCUCUACAUAUGUUCCUAUUGUUCGGUCUUCAUCUUGCCGCCCCACGACAUCUUCGCUUGUUCGACCCACUGAGUCAUCGACUCUUGCUCCUAAUUGUAGUUCCACGCUGUCUGUUUCAGUUGACACUCCGGCUGAAUUAGGUUUUACUCAUGAGGUGCAUCGGCUCUCUACCUCAUCCCUUGAAUCUCGUCAAUGCGAUCCAACUACAAUUCCAUUGGCUGUUCCAUCUAUUUCUCUGGAAUACUCAUAACACUAUUACUCAGCUAGACCCAAAGCUCUGUCUGUUGAAAUUGUCAACUGUGAGUCGAUCACGAUUGAAGAGGCGCUCGCUAGUAAGGAAUGGCAAUUAGUUGUCCAAGCUGAGUUUGUUGCUAUAAUGGUUAACUCCACUUGGGAGCUUGUUCCCUUACCUCAUGGUCGAAAAGUGAUUAGGUGUAAGUGGCUUUUUAAAAUAAAAAAAUCCUGAUGGGACUAUCACUUGACGUAAGGCUCGGUUGGAAGCAAAGGGUUGUUCUCAGGUACUCAGGUGUGAUUUCAAGGAAACCUUUAGUUUGGUAGUUAAACCUGCUACUAUUAGAACCAUAUUAUCUGUUGCUAUCUCCAACGGUUGGCAAUUUGGUCAGGUAGAUGUGAACAAUGCUUUUUUAAAUGGUGAUCUUAUUGACGAAGUGUUCAUGCAGCAACCUCUAGGCUAUGUUCAGAUUGGUCAAAAUGGUGAGCCCUUGGUGUAUCAUUUGACAAAGGUGUUGUACAGAUUAAGACAAGCUCCACGUGCUUGGUUUGAUAAAUUGAAACGUUUUUUUGUUUCUAUUGGAUUUGCUUUAUCCAAAUCUGAUGUAUCCUUAUUUGUUCAAGUUAAUUCGAAUCCACUAUUUAUGUUUUAGUCUAUAUGGAUGAUAUUAUCGUUACUAGAAGUACGAUCGACGGUAUAAAUGGCUGUAUUCAAUAGUUACAUAAUGUGUUUCCCUUAAAGAUAUGGGAGAUCUUUACUACUUCUUAGGCAUUGAAGUCACUCGGUAGUCCACUGGGAGUCUCCAUUUGUGCCAACGCAAAUACAUUCGGGAUCUUCUUGACAGUAGUUUUUUAGCUAAUGCAAAGAGUGUUCACACACCGAUGGUUAGUUCUUUUACGUUGUUUAAAGAUGUGGGAGAUCGCCUCGUUGAUCCUACUGGAUAUAGAAGUCUUGUCGGUGUAUUACAAUAUGUGGUCUUGACUCUGCCUGAUAUUGCUUAUGCUAUAAAUCAUGUUUGUCAAUUCAUGCAUGCCCCUACUACAGUACAUUUGGUGGCUUUGAAAAGAAUCUUGCACUAUUUAUGUGACACUAUUAAUCAUGGGUUAAUUUUGUCUGUUCAACAUAUUGUCUUUAGUUGGCUAUGCUAAUGCCAACUGGGGACUGGAUUUUGAUGAUCGUAAAUCAACAACAAGCUAUUGUUUGUAUUUUGGGUAUACACCCAUCUCUUGGUGAUCUAAGAGACAACUCUACUGCGUGAGGCGAAGUAUUUUGGCCGCACCAUGGCUGAGGUGAAGUAUCGAAGUCUAGCAACAACUACCAGUGAUGUUACUUGGUUAGUCUCUCUACUAACAAAAUUACAGAUUCAUUCUAUAGAUCCACAUACUAUUUGGCGUGACAACUCUAAUGCAGUAGCGGUCAUUGCUAAUCCGGUCUGACACUCUAAAUUUAAACAUGCCAAGCUUGAUCUAUUUUUUGUUCGCGAAAAGGUCGCUAAUGGUUCUCUCGUUGUCGGUGAGAUUCUAGCAUGUGAUUAAGUUGCUGACAUUCUCACAAAACCACUGUUCGUCUCUACUUUUGCUAGGUUUCGUAGUCUGCUUCAAUUCUUACCUCUUGAGAAGCUGGGUGAAGCCAGGUGAAUAUUAGAGUAUAGACUCUGUUAGUCUGUUACCAUUUUGUUAUUCAGGCUGGAAUAUUGUUAGUAAGCAGUUAGUCAUAGCAGUUAGUCAUACAAUUAUAAAUUCUAUUCAUGUAUUGUUCAAAGGUAAGCUAAUAAUACCAAAAGAGAUUUAAUGUGCUCAUUCUACUUUCUUUGUUAUUCUUCAUAAUACAGUUGUUAACAUGCUUGAUAUCAUCUCUUAGAGAGAACGAGGAGAGAUAAGAGUAAGAGUAUGAGCCAACUAGGGAUAAGGCUCUACCAUAAUACCUUGGAUGCAAUUAAAGUAAGAGUAAGAGCCAACUUGUUUGGCUUGAUAGCAUCCCCUUAUAGAAAAGGCUCUACCGCAUGGCAUGAGAGCAAUAAAAGUAACACUCAAUUUCUUGGGUUGAUAGCAUCUCCUUAGGGAAAAGGGUUUACCAUGUGACAUGAAAGCAAUUAAAGUAAGAGUAAGAUCCAACUUGUUUGUCUUAAUAGCAUCAUUUAAGAGAAAUAUCCCAAUCAAUUUAUUCAAAUAUGUUAAUCAAAUAAUGCAAGUUACAAUGUUCUGUCAGUUUUUCCUUUAAUUGUAACUGGGUUAAAGUUGGUAGUUGUAACUGCUACUAAUAGAAUGGAUACGGUAGAAAUGGUUGCAAGCAACAUAAGCAAAGAUGACUUUAAUGUCUUUGUAUUGACCACGUGAGAACUAUAGAAUGCAGAGAAUAGUAUGGUGAUUGGCAACAGAAUGCUACUAACCUUGAGGAUAGUAGACAGGGAUGGAUCCACGGGGGUUGGGGGCGGUCCCCCCUUGGAAUUUUUAAAAUUUUAAAUUUUAUAUAUAAAUUAUCAUGUAUUUUAAAUUUGGUGUCCACAUUGUAUAGCAUUCACCCCCCUUUUCCAAAUUGCAUUUCAUAUCAUUUGCCCUCUUAAGCCAUAAGGUUAUACUUUAUAUUAACAAAGUAUUUUCCAUUUUUUAAUUAUAUAAAUUUAAUAAUAAUAAUAAUAAUCAAAUAUUAAUAUAUGAUUGGCAUUGAAAGACUAAACAUAAAGGUCCAGUUGAGACUUUAAAGCCAAAUUCCAUAAUUAAUUAAUUGAUUUGGCCCAUACCAGUACAUAUUAGGUUAGCGAAAUUCUUGUAUUUUGAUUUGUAUGUCUUGCUAAGGAAUUAUCUUCCUUUGGUAAGGUGUUGACACUGCCAAGAGAAAAAGAAAGGAUUUUGAUGUCGAGAUUGUGAGCAUAGAGUAAAAAAAAUACAAAUUAUCUUCCUCUUAGCUCCUUAUGGAAAAAACCUCUCGGUAAAUAUUUUUGCAUAAAUUAUGUUUUUUAUUAAUUUGACUUAGUUUUUUUCUUUUUUCCUAAUACAUUGUUGUUUAAUAUAUUCUUACAAUCAUCAGGUUUUUUGACUAAAUUAUGGUCAAUAAAAACAUCGAAUCUAUUUAAAAAAAAAGAGUGUCAGAAAGCAAUAAUGAUCAACCGGUUCCUCAACCUUCCAUUAUUAGUGAAGAAAAAUCAAAUAUCGGAUCUUCCAAAGCUCUUGAACAAAAUAUCAGGUCUUCUUAAGCCCAAGCUCCUAAAUGCGGUAUGGAGUCUUCCCCAACUCCUGAACGAGAUUGUAACAAUCCAUACCCAAUUCGAUCACCAAAUCCAAGUAGAGAGCGCCGCAACUUAAACCAUAUGAAUUGAAUAAUAAAUAUUUGAAAUUUAUUAAAGUAUCGAGUUCUUGGUGUAACCCUCAGUAUAACAAUACGAAACAAUUAAAUCAAUGAUACGCCAGGAAAAAAUGUUUUUAGGCAAAACACAUGGCGGAAGCCUUACAAAAUUUUAUAAGUUUAUAUAAAAUGUAAGAUGAGUUAAUCCCAUACAACAGUUUCAAGUGCAUCGUUGGCGGUUAAAAGAACAUUCAAAAACUAUUCGGCGUAUAUGCCAAUGAGACAAUCACGUGGAACAAGAUAUAGUAGCUUAAACACAUACAUCACUUACCACGUCAUCAUAACAUAUACUAACCAUAUAAACAAACUUAUCGAGCUGCGAACUAACAAGUUCACCCAAACAUCUAGGGUUAGCGAUAACUUAUUAGAAGAGCCCGCCAAACCCUAGAGUUCGCCAAAACCUGGAGUUCACCAAAUGGCGACUCCCAUAGAAUACGCCAAACACACAACCAAAAAUAAAUACUCUACUAAUUUACUCAUUUUAUAUUCUUAGCAUAAACAACUAUGCACCAAACAGUAACUUGAUACAUUAUCUUUCGGGCGAGUUGUUACAAUUCUCCCCCAUUUAGAAACUUUUGUCCUUGAAAUUCUUACCGGUGAAUAACUGAGGAUAUUGUUCUUUCAUCGAACUCUCUCUUUCCCAAAUGGCUUCUUUUGUAUUGUGAUUUAUCUAUAAUACAUUAACCAAAGGAAUUCUUUUACUUCUCAACUCUUUUACUUCCCUUGCUAAAAUACAAACAGGUUCUUCUUCAUAGGACAAGUUUUGCUCCACUUCCAGUGCUUUGACUUGUACCACAUAAUCUGGAUUGGAUUGAUAUUUUCUUAACAUAGAUAUAUUAAACACAUUAUGUAUAUUUGAUAACUCUGGUGGCAACACCAGUUUGUAUGCCACUGGACCAACUUAUUCCAAAAUCUCAUAUGGUUCUAUGAAAUGCAGACUUAAUUUCCCUUUUUGUUCAAACCUUAUGAUCUUCUUCCAAAGAGAAAACUUCAUAAAUGCAUUGUCACCCACUUCGAAAGAGAUUAUUUUCCUUUUUAGAUCAGCAUAAGCUUUCUGGCGAUCUUAAGUUACUUUCAGAUGAUUUCUAAUGAUAAAGACUUUCUCUUCUGUUUCUCAUACUAAAUCAAGACCAACUAUUUUCCUUUUACUGAGUCUCAUCCAAUAGGUAGGAGAUCUGCACCUUCGUCUAUACAAAGCUCCAAAUGGUAACAUUCCCAGACUGUCAUAAUAACUAUUAUUAUACGCAAACUCUAGCAAAGGAAGAUAUCUUUCUCAAUUCAUUCUAAAAUCUAUAAUACAACCUCUAAACAUGUCUUCUAGAACUUGAAAUACUCUUUCAAAUUGCUCAUCGAAUUAGGGAUGAAAGGUAGUACAGAAUCAUUAUUUCGUUCCCAACGAUUCUUGCAGUUGUCUCCAAAAUCUCAAUGUAAACAUUGGGUCUCGAUCUGAAACUAUGGAUGUUGGAAUCCCAUGAGGCGUACAACUUCAGAAACGUAGAGAUUAGCCAACUUUUCCAAUAAGUAAUUUGUGCGGACAAACAAGAUAUGGGCUAACUUAGUAAGUCGAUCUACAAUUACCUAGACUGAGUACUUCUUCGAAAGGAUGAGAGGGAGAGCCAAAACAAAAUCCAUGGUGAUCUUAUCCCACUUCCACAUAGAUAUCUCUAAAAGGUACAACUUGCCUAAGGGAACCUGAUGUUCUAUUUUAAUCUGCUGACAUGUCAAACAAAUGGAAAUGUACUUUGUUAUUUCUUUCUUCAUUUCAAGUCAGUAAUACAAACUUAUCAAAUUAUGAUACAUUUUAUGUAAAACUCUCAACCCAACUCGAAAUGUCGAGUCUGGAUCUCGGGUAUUACUAUACAUAAUACUUGGCAAAAUAUCAAAAUAGUUGACAAAUACUCUUUAUAGAAAACAUUUUCUUAUUAUUUUAACCAAAAGACUAAAUAUUUAAUAACAAGAGAAAAUAUUAAAAACAAAAAAAAAUUAUUACAUCAGACUUGGUACAACUCAUUAUAGUAUAAAAUUUUGUUAAAGACAUACUCUUGGGGCAUAACCCUAAUCUAAGCCACUUUUCCACUAUAUGCAUAAUAACCCACUUCGCCACUAUCUUGGCGUACUCCUAGCAUCGUCACUCCUAAUGCAUUCUCUACCCAUACACCUGAAAACAACAACAUUUUAAGCUUAAGAUAACUUAGUGACUUUUAUCCCAAAAAUACCUUGGCGAGUACUUUAUAUUAUUUGAAGAACAUUUGUGCGCCAUCUAUCCUUCUGAACCACCUUCUUCUGAAUUAAGUGGAUACUAUUAUAGAUUCAACUUUCACUUACACGCCAACUAUCAUACUCUUAACAAACUCACUUAUUCUAGAAUAGUUGUUCACAUAUAUUAAUCACUAAUUGAUACAUUCAUAUUUGGCGAAUACUUACGCAGAUCUGAAUACCAUCAAACUACUAAUCAAAUCAUACCUUGAUCCGAUACCAUACAAACUCAUACUGAUAAUGUACUACACAAAUUAUUCAAAUGAAUUUUCCACUACUUUGUUACAGGACCCCAGAUAAUCAUCAUAACAAUAACUCAAUUUUCAUAUGAUUUCAGAAGAAGAUAUAAUACAACCCAAAUACGGCAAAUUCCAGAUAACUCAGAUUCAACAACUGCUUAACACAUACGAACUCACAUUUAUAAUUUCUUAUGUCCCACAUAACUACGACUAUGUCUAUAUUCAACACUAACAAAUAAUCAUGACGGAUACCCUUCUUAUACAUAUAUGCAUUUCUUUUCUAGAAAUCUCUUAAGACUUACUCAAUUAUAUCACAUAUCUUAUUCAACCCUUAACUUUAGACAUAUCAUAACCCUAUCAUAUCAAUAUCUAUCACAAAAAAAAUCAGGAUUUAUCCAAAACUUACCAUAAAGGUAGAUAAUCAUAUUAUAUCAGACAAACUUAACUAAAUGUGCCACAAAGGCCAAACAAAAUAUGCCUUAAAGGCUUCAUACAAAAUCACGUGUUUACUAUCCCGACGGACUAUCACAAAAGGUGUCAUGGGUUUCUCCCACAUGGACUUAUACAUAAUUUCAUGUAUUGUGAUCUGCCAUUUUGAAUCAUACGUUAUCGAAGGAUACUCCAUAAGCAUACAUACAGACAUAUCUUGCCAUGUGUCUCAGCCACAUGGCUUAAACACACAUUCAUGUACUGUGAUAUGUCAAUCCAGUCUUACUCUUAUUAGAGCCUACACCAUGAGUGUUUUCAAAUCAUAUUAAGAUGUUGUAGGUCUCAACCUCAUAGUCUUACACUUGUUUUCAUAUCGUGACCUGCCAGUCUAGUUAGCAAUAUAAUUGCCUACCAGAGGCUUCAUAGAGGAACAUUUGCUUAGAUUCACUUACCUAGAUGAUCUGUAACACCCCUUACCCGAGACCGUUGUCAGAGUCGAGCACGAGGUAUUACUUAUCUUAUCUUACUAACUCGAAGCAUAAAAACUUGUUUUAAAAAUUAAUUUCACUAUUUAUAGCAAUUUGUCCAAUCGCGCAGCAGUUACUAAAUUAAUUAUAACUCGAGAUACGGAACUUGAAAUUUAACUCCGUAAAUUUUCCCUGAAACUAGACUCAUAUAUCUUCCUACCAUAAAAAUUUUAGGAUUUUUAGUUUAUCAAAUUAGUACAGUUUAUUAGUUAAAUUCUCCCCUGUUUCACAAAUCGACUGCCCUGACCUCUUAUCACUAAAAAUAAAAUGUAUCAUUGUGGGAUUUUCGUAUAGUGCUACCGCUUGCUUCUACAGAAAAUAGACUCAAUAAGGAAUCUAUACAUAUAAACUACAACUCAUAAAUAUUUUUUUAAAAUUUUUAAUGAUUUUAUAAACUCAAAACAGGGGUCACCAAAAACUGUUCUAACCCUGUCUCACCAAAAUUCACAUAUCUUAAAAUAUAAAUUCCUUUUGCUACACCGUUAUUUUUAUGUGAAAAUAGACUCAACAAGAUUUAUGUCAUUCAAUAUUUAAUUCAUUUUAUACUAUCCUAGGUGAUUUUUCAAAGUCACGUCACUGUUGCUGCCUGAAUUCUGUUUCUUUGCAAAAUUUUACCCUUUUAUGAUUUCCAUGCAUAGUUUAUCACUUAGACUCUUAUAACAACAAACACUUCCAUACUUAACCAUUUUAGCAACCAUUCAUCAUCAAAUACUUACACAUCAUUCUUUAGCAAGAUCAUAAAUACAAACAUUUAAAAUAACUAAAUCCCUUUACAUUCCAUACUCAACAUGGUUCAACAUAAAAAUACCGAGUUGCUGUGGUUGAUAGUGUGGACGAUCUCCGACUUCUUUAGGAUCCUUGAAGUAACCUUGCAAUACUAUAAGAGAAAGAGAAAUAAAAGACGUAAGCAUAAAGCUUAGUAAGUUUACUAGCAAAUAAAUAACAAUAUUUAACUAGAUAAUUAAACUCAAGUGUCUAUAUCUCUAGUUUACUAUUUAGUUAAUCUCAUUCUAGUUCUCUUGCUUGUUUACUUAGUAUACUUGUGUGCAUAACUUACUCCUCUCUUGCUGUAUAGUUGAAUAUCAAUUGAUAAUAUAAUAAGUUAUUAACUCUUAUAACUUACCUGAACUUGCCAUUUAUGUUUUUAACUGAACUUUCCUGAACAUGAUUCGUUAUUUAGCCCGUUGAGCUACAUUGGAACAAUAAGGAUACUCGGGUCUCUUCUGAUAAUAACAUGCCAAAGCCAUGUCCCAGACAUGGUCUUACAUGGGAUGUACUCAUGUCGGUGCCCAUUCCAUAUCCCAGACAUGGUCUUACGGGGGACCUCUCAUCUCGGUGCCAAUGCCAUGUCCCAGACAUGGUCUUACAUGGGACCUCUCAUCUCGGUGCCAACGCCAUGUCCCAGACAUGGUCUUACAUGGGACCUCUCAUCUCGGUGCCAACGCCAUGUCCCAGACAUGGUCUUACAUGGGACCUCUUUACCCAAAUGUCAUGACAUUCGUAUCCAGUACCAUCCUUACUAUUCAUGACAACCGAUAUAUAUAUAUACAUACUCACUAUUCACAAGGACUCGAACGAUUAUAUACUCAUCAACCACCUUAAAACAAUGUUCAUAAACUUAUCCAUUUCAUAUAAACAAAAGCAUAUAUAUUUAUAACCAAUGCAUAGAAUCACUUAAUUUAAACAGAUUCACUGGCACUUCACCUGAUAGGCUUAUAGUUUAAUUCAGUUCACCGGCACUUAGCCUACUAGGCUUGUAGCCUGAUUCAGUUCACCGGCACUUAGCCUGCUAGACGUAUAGUCCGAUUCAAUUCACCGGCAUUUAGCCUGCUAGACGUAUAGUCUGAUUCAAUUUACCGGCACUUAGCCUGCUAGACGUAUAGUCUGAAUAAUUUUACUGGUAAUAAAUCCGAUAGUAAUUUCUCCGUUGAAAUUGAAUUAUAUUCAAUUCUGCGUAACAAACAUGCACUUAAAACAUACUUGCAUAAUUCACAACAAUAAUUUCAGUCCAAAGAGCUGUAAUUCAUAUUCGAACUAUAUAUAUAUAAAUCCAUACAUAAAAAUUCAACUCAAAAUUUAUAACCUAUAUCUUUGAACCACAUAGGUACAUGAAAUUCAAACACCAAAAUCCAGCUCAAUAACUUCAUGAUUCAACCUAACAAAUUUAUGUAUAUAACUUUUUAUCUAAUUUCAAUACAAUAACUUAUACAUGUACGUAUAUACAUAUUCGAAUCUAACAUAUACAUAUAUAAUUUCAUACUUAAAUAUAUUCAAGACUUAUUCAUGAGUAUACAUAUAUAUUACAACUCACAUGUACAUAUAUAUACACAUUCAUACCUUUAACCAAGUCCAAGGCUUUAUACAUGUAUAUGCUUAUAUAUAUAUAUUCGGACCUUAUGUUUACAUAUAUAUAUUAUAUAAAUACCUUUGAUUAAAAACAAGUAUUUAUACAUAUAUAUAUUUUCGAACAUGAUACAUAUAUAUUUAUAUCAUUCAUACUUAAACAAAAUUCAAUCCAUAUACUUUCAAUUUCAGCUCACCAAAUUACUAUAGAUAUACAUGCAUAUAUACUGAUUUAAUAACCUCAAAUUGCUAAUAGACUUACCUCGGAUAUCAGCGGACACGAUCGAGUAUUCGAUUACUUUCGUUUUUCCCCGAUCCAAAUUCGUUUUCUUCGUUUUUUAUCUUAAUUAGACCUAGAGAUAGCCGAACCUUGUUGUUCUCUUUUCUUUUCUUUUCUUUUUCUUUUCUAUAUUCGGCCAAGAUGAAGAACAUGGCAUUUAAAAUUUGUUAUAUUAAACAUAUAUUAGCCUUAUUUUUAAUUUACUAUAUUAACCUUUACAUAUAUAUAACAUAUAUAAUAAGGUUACAUUAGUCCUUUGCCACCCACUAACUUACAUAGUGGACUAAUUGCAUAGUAAAACCUCUAAAUUAUAAAGACAACAAGAAUUAGGUCCUUUUAUAAUUAACCCCUAAAUUUUCAUUUUACGCGAUUAAGCCCUUUUAUUAAAUCGGACACUUAAACGACGAAAUUAAAACACGAAAAUUUCACACAAUCAAAUGCAUACAAAACAAUAUUAAUAAUAUUUUUCUAAUUCAAAUUUGUGGUCCCGAAACCAGUAUUCUGAUUAGGGUCAAAAACCGGGUUGUUACAACUCUCCCCCCUUAGGGAUUUUCGUCCCCGAAAAUCUUACCGGUGAAUAGGUUUGGAUAACGCUCUUUCAUUGUAUCUUCUAACUCCCAAGUUGCUUCUUCAACCCCAUGUUUAUGCCACAACACUUUAACUAACGGAAUUUUCUUAUUUCGUAAUUCUUUGAUCUCACGAGCCAGAAUGCUAAUCGGUUCUUCCUCAUAUGUCAUAUCAGAGUUAAUUUCAAUCUCCGUCGGACUAAUCACAUGUGAAGGAUCAGAUCGGUAUCUACGAAGCAUCGAAACAUGGAAUACGUUAUGAAUCUUUUCUAACUCAGGCAGUAACAUCAAUCUAUAAGCAACCAAUCCAACUCGCUCUAUAAUCUCAUACGGUCCAAUGAAUCUCGGACACAAUUUGCCUUUACGACCAAAUCUGAGUAUUUUCUUCCACGGUGAGACUUUUAAAAACACUUUAUCCCCGAUCUGAAAUUCUAUAUCCUUUCUUUUCAAAUUCGCAUAAGAUUUCUGACGAUCCGAUGCUGAUUUCAGACUGUCCCGAAUCACUUUCACUUUCUGUUCGGUCUCUUUAAUCAAAUCAACCCCGUGUAUCUUAUUUUCACUGAGCUCGGUCCAAUACAGUGGUGUACGACAUUUACAACCGUACAAAGCCUCAUAAGGUGCCAUUUUGAUACUAGAUUGAAAGCUAUUAUUAUAAGCAAAUUCAAUCAAAGGUAAGUAUCGUUCCCACGUACCUUCAAACUCGAGAAUGCAACAUCUCAACAUAUCCUCAAGUAUCUGAAUGAUUCAUUCAGAUUGACCAUCUGUCUGCGGAUCGAAAGCUGUGCUAAAAUGUAGUUUCGUACCUAAAGCAUCUUGUAGUUUCUUCCAAAAUCGCGAUGUGAAUCUCAGAUCUCUGUCUGAAACAAUAGAAAUAGGUACACCAUGCAACCUCACAAUUUGUGAAAUAUACAAUUCCGCAAGUUUAUCGAGCGAAAAAUCUGUACGAAUCGAAAUAAAAUGUGUCGAUUUUGUCAACCUAUCAACAAUAACCCAGAUUGCAUCUAUCUUGCUCGGUGUCAACGGUAAAUCGGAUACAAAAUCCAUCGUGACUCGAUCCCAUUUCCAUUGAGGUAUCAUGAUCGGCUGAAGCAACCCAGAUGGUACCUGAUGCUUGGCUUUAACUUGCUGACAAAUUAAACAUUUCGAAACAAAGUCAGAAAUGUCUCGUUUCAUACCUUGCCACCAAUAGUGCUGUUUCAGAUCGUUAUACAUUUUCGUGCUACCCGGAUGAACAGAAAAUCGACUACUAUGAGCUUCCUUCAAAAUCAUCUAAAUUAACUCUGAUUUUUUCGGAACACAUAAUCGGUUUCUAAAUCUCAAACAAUCCUCAGCAUCAACUAAAAACUCCGAAUCAAUAUUUAAGUCACAUUGAGCUCGUUUUGCAGUUAAAUCAUUAUCGACCUUUUGAGCUUCACAAAUCUGUUGUACAAAUAACGGUUUUGCUUUCAACUCAGCUACUAUCGCACCAUCAUCAGACAUAACCAUAUGUGCGUUCAUUGCACGCAAAGCAAACAGUGAUUUUCGACUUAGGGCAUCAGCAACAACAUUAGCCUUUCCCGGAUGAUAGUCAAUCACAAGCUCGUAUUCUUUCAGCAAUUCUAACCAUCGACGCUGUCUCAAAUUCAGAUAUUUCUGAGUCAUCAAAUAUUUCAGGCUUUUGGGAUCGGAAUAAACAUGACAUCUUUCACCAAACAGAUAGUGACGCCAUAUUUUUAACGCAAAUACAAUAGCGGCCAAUUCCAGAUCAUGUGUCGGAUAGUUUUUUUCAUGCGGCUUUAACUGUCUCAAGGCAUAGGCUACAACUUUGCCUUCCUACAUCAAAACACAACCCAAACCAUUUAAAGAUGCAUCACUAUAGAUAACAAACUCUUUACCCGAUUCGGGUUGAACUAAGACUGGAGCUUCGGUCAAAAGAACUUUCAACUGAUCAAAGUUUUUCUGACACUUUUCUGACCACUCGAACUUAACGUCUUUUUGUAGUAGCUUUGUCAUCGGGGUCGCAAUCAUAGAAAACCCUUUCACGAACCGUCUAUAAUAACCAGCGAGCCCCAGAAAGCUUCGAACAUCAGAGACAUUUCUCGGAGGUUUCCAAUCAAGUAUAGCUGAAAUUUUACCUGGAUCAACUCGAAUACCCGAUGCUGACACAACAUGGCCCAGAAAACUAACUUCACGUAACCAGAACUCGCAUUUACUGAACUUUGCAUACAACUGUUUAUCUCGCAAAGUUUGUAACACAAGUCUCAGAUGUUCAGUAUGCUCGGUUUCAUCACGAGAGUAGAUCAAAAUAUCAUCUAUAAAUACUACCACAAAUCGAUCCAGAUACUGUCUAAAAAUCUGAUUCAUCAAAUCCAUGAAAACAGCAGGUGCAUUAGUAAGUCCAAAAGGCAUAACCAAGAACUCAUAAUGUCCGUACCUCGUUCGGAAAGCUGUCUUUGGCACAUCAGAGUCUUUAACUCGCAACUGAUAGUAGCCUGAUCUCAGAUCUAUCUUCGAAAACACAGUAGCCCCUUUCAACUGAUCGAACAAAUCAUCAAUCCGUGGUAACGGAUACUUAUUCUUUAUAGUCACCUUAUUGAGUUGCCGGUAAUCAAUGCACAUUCUCAUUGUUCUGUCUUUCUUUUUCACAAAUAGAACUGGUGCACCCCAAGGAGAGAAACUCGGUCGUGUAAAACCUUUAUCAGUCAACUCUUGCAACUGUACUUUCAAUUCUUUUAAUUCGGUCGGUACCAUACGGUACGGAGCUAUCGAAAUUGGAGUUGUCCCUGGUACUAACUCAAUACCAAACUCUACCUCUCGAAUAGGUGGCAAACCCGGUAAUUCUUCGGGAAACACGUCUGAAUACUUACACACUACUGGCACAGAUUCAAUCUUCUUUUCGGUCACUUUACUAUCAAGAAAAAAUGCAAGGUAAUCUUCACAACCUUUUCUCACAUACUUCUGAGCCGACAUCGAGGAUAUUAUUGCUGGUAAACCAUUCAGAUCAUUAGAUUCAAUCCGAAUAAUCUCAUCAUUCUGACACCGUAGAUCAAUAGUUUUCCGUUUGCAGUUUACUAUAGCAUUAUGCAGAGUUAACCAAUCCAUACCCAGAAUUAUAUCAAACUCGUCAAAUGGUAGCAACAUCAAAUCAGCCAGAAAACAUAAAUCUCGAAUCAUCAACGGACAAUUCUUGCACACUUUGUCAACCAAAACACACCGGCCCAAGAGGUUCAAUACUUUAAUUACAAACUCAGUAGACUCAACAGGCAAAGUCUUACUGAAUACUAAAGUCUCACACACAUAAGAAUGAGUCGAACCAAGAUCAAUCAAUGCAAUAACAUUAGUAUCAUAAAGAGUGAAAGUACCAGUAAUAACAUCUGGAGAAGAAGCCUCCUCCCGAGCACGGAUGGCAUAUGCUCUGGCAAGUGCACGAGCCUCAGAUCGAACUGCCAUGUCCUUUGUUCCUCUCUGACUGCCACUUACAUUACUCAAUUGCCUCGGCGGUCUACCUCGUACAGGUACUUUACUCGGUCUGGUAUUCUACACAGUGUUUUGCUCAGCUACCAUCGGACACUCUCGAAUGAAAUGAUCCUUUGAACCGCACUUAAAGCAAGACCGAUCAUGUAAUCUGCAAUCUCCAGGAUGCCAUUUCCCACAAUGCUUGUACUCUGAUCUAUUUUGUCGAACACUACCAACGCUAGCAACUGAAGUAGCUCGUGAACUCACAGGGGGUCGAUCUCGAUCAUACUUAGGAAACCCUGCAGUAGCUUUAGAUCGGCUAUGAUCCUCUCUGGAUUUCAUUGAGGUCGACUGGAAUGAUUUACUGAAUGAUCUUUUACGAGAAUCUCGAGCUUCAUAGCCAGCUUUCCUCUUCUCUUUACUGAGCUCCUUAACUUUACAAGGUCGUUCAACAAGUACUACGAACUCUUUUAUCUCAAGUAUACCAAAUAACAGUUUAAUAUCUUCAUCCAGCCCAUCUUCAAAUCUUUUACACAUGAUAGCUUCAGUCGAAAUACAUUCUCGAGCAUAUCUACUGAGUCUCACAAAUUUCCGCUCAUAUUCUAUCACUGUCAUACGACCCUGUUUCAAUUCAAGAAAUUCCUUAUGCUUCUGAUCAAUGAAUCUUUGGCUGAUGUAUUUCUUACAGAACUCAAUCUGAAAGAAUUCCCAGGUCACUCGCUCUUUCGGAACCACCGAUACUAGUGUAUUCCACCAGUGAUAUGCAGUGUCCCGUAGCAAAGAUAUGGCACAUUUCAAGUACUCAUCAGGGGUGCAAGAUAACUCAUCAAACACUCGAAUAGUAUUAUCAAGCCAGAAUUCAGCUUGCUCAGCAUCAUCAUCAUCAGUAGCUCUGAACUCUUCGACCCCGUGUUUUCAAAUUUAGUCAACAGGAGGCUUAAGUAAUCUCAUCGGAUCACUUACUUGAGGUAUAAUAGGAAUCGAAGGUGGAUUAGUCGGGGGUGGAGUUUGUUGUGCAACCGGAUUAGUUCGGACAUAUUGAGUAAACCAGUCAUUCAUCAUUUGGUAGAAGGCUUGUUUAGCCUCUCCCUCCUGGUUACUCGAGGUCGGUCGAGAAUCUACCAGCUCUGUCCCUUGUGUGGGAGCAGGCGCUAUACUCUCAACAUCAUCGACUACGGCUGGAUCGGGAUCCAUUACUAUACGAAAACACAUUUUUAGACAUCAGCAGUCAUCGCACUAUCUUGGUAUAAAAAUAUGGCAUGUAUAGCUAGACUCAUACAUGCUACAUUAGUCCAAGAAUCGAUUAAACCGUAGCUCUGAUACCAAUAAAAUGUAACACCCCUAACCCGUAUCCGUCGCCGAAUUAGGGUUACGAGGCAUUACUGAACAAAUACAACCAUUUUUAAAACCAACUGAUCACAAACAUGAAAAUUAAAUCAUUUUCACAUAGCUAUUUAUAAUUUACAAUCAACAUCUAACCAACAUCGUACUCAAACCUAUACAUGCCAUAAGAUCAAGUUCAAAUAUUUAACAAAAUACCAAAAGGGGUCGAAAGUGUGAUAGACUAUGCUGAUGAUCCCCGAGCUCGUAACGCAUCUCCAAAAUCUAUAAAAACAAAUGGACAAAAACAAUCAAAGUAAGCUUUUAUAGCUUAGUAAGUCUAUAGCAUAUCUAAAAUACAUAUAAAAGAAUCAUAUAAUUCUUAAAAUAAAUUUAUUGAAAUCACAAUUAUCAAUUAUAAUUACUAAUCGAACAUUGCUAUAUUAAGUCAUCUUGUUUAAAUCUAAAAGGAUGUGUAUUUAUCUAAUACACAUGAACGGACAAAUGUAUAUACAUUAUAUGCAUAUAAUCAAUUUACUAACAUAAUCAUUAAUUGCAUAUACGGAUUUCUAUAGUACUUAUUGUUCGCACUUAAUCGGAUCCAUUUAAAUAUAAUUGUUCAAAUACAUAUACCAAAAGCAUAAUAAUUUUAUACUUGAUCAACUAUAAGUGCCGAAUGCACAUAUACACCUAUACCCACCUAUGCCGAAUGCAUACAUAUAUACACAUAUAUAUAUAUCCAACAAUUUCGUGACAACCGAUAUAUAUAUACAUACUCACUAUUCACAAGGACUCGAACGAUUAUAUACUCAUCAACCACCUUAAAACAAUGUUCAUAAACUUAUCCAUUUCAUAUAAACAAAAGCAUAUAUAUUUAUACCCAAUGCAUAGAAUCACUUAAUUUAAACAGAUUCACUAGCACUUCACCUGAUAGGCUUAUAGUUUAAUUCAGUUCACCGGUACUUAGCCUACUAGGCUUGUAGCCUGAUUCAGUUCACCGGCACUUAGCCUGCUAGACGUAUAGUCCGAUUCAAUUCACCGGCAUUUAGCCUGCUAGACGUAUAGUCCGAUUCAAUUUAUCGGCACUUAGCCUGCUAGAUGUAUAGUCUGAAUAAUUUUACUGGUAAUAAAUCCGAUAGUCAUUUCUCCGUUGAAAUUGAAUUAUAUUCAAUUCUGCGUAACAAACAUGCACUUAAAACAUACUUGCAUAAUUCACAACAAUAAUUUCAGUCCAAAGAGCUGUAAUUCAUAUUCGAACUAUAUAUAUAAAUCCAUACAUAAAAAUUCAGCUCAAAAUUUAUAACCUAUAUCUUUGAACCACAUAGGUACAUGAAAUUCAAACAACAAAAUCCAGCUCAAUAACUUCAUGAUUCAACCUAACAAAUUUAUGUAUAUAACUUUUUAUCUAAUUUCAAUACAAUAACUUAUACAUGUACGUAUAUACAUAUUCGAAUCUAACAUAUACAUAUAUAAUUUCAUACUUAAAUAUAUUCAAGACUUAUUCAUGAGUAUACAUAUAUAUUACAACUCACAUGUACAUAUAUAUACACAUUCAUACCUUUAACCAAGUCCAAGGCUUUAUACAUGUAUAUGCUUAUAUAUAUAUAUAUUCGGACCUUAUGUUUACAUAUAUAUUAUAUAUAAAUACCUUUGAUUAAAAACAAGUAUUUAUACAUAUAUAUAUUUUUGAACAUGAUACAUAUAUAUAUUUAUAUCAUUCAUACUUAAACAAAAUUCAAUCCAUAUACUUUCAAUUUCAGCUCACCAAAUUACUAUAGAUAUACAUGCAUAUAUACUGAUUUAAUAACCUCAAAUUGCUAAUAGACUUACCUCGGAUAUCAGCGGACACGAUCGACUAUUCGAUUACUUUCGUUUUUCCCCGAUCCAAAUUCGUUUUCUUCGUUUUUUUAUCUUAAUUAGACCUAGAGAUAGCCGAACCUUGUUGUUCUCUUUUCUUUUCUUUUCUUUUUCUUUUCUAUAUUCGGCCAAGAUGAAGAACAUGGCAUUUAAAAUUUGUUAUAUUAAACAUAUAUUAGCCUUAUUUUUAAUUUACUAUAUUAACCUUUACAUAUAUAUAUAACAUAUAUAAUAAGGUUACAUUAGUCCUUUGCCACCCACUAACUUACAUAGUGGACUAAUUGCAUAGUAAAACCUCUAAAUUAUAAAGACAACAACAAUUAGGUGCUUUUAUAAUUAACCCCUAAAUUUUCAUUUUACGCGAUUAAGCCCUUUUAUUAAAUCGGACACUUAAACGACGAAAUUAAAACACGAAAAUUUCACACAAUCAAAUGCAUACAAAAUAAUAUUAAUAAUAUUUUUCUAAUUCAAAUUUGUGGUCCCGAAACCAGUAUUCUGAUUAGGGUCAAAAACCGGGUUGUUACAACUCUCCCCCCUUAGAGAUUUUCGUCCCCGAAAAUCUUACCGGUGAAUAGGUUUGGAUAACGCUCUUUCAUUGUAUCUUCUGACUCCCAAGUUGCUUCUUCAACCCCAUGUUUAUGCCACAACACUUUAACUAACGGAAUUUUCUUAUUUCGUAAUUCUUUGAUCUCACGAGCAAGAAUGCUAAUCGGUUCUUCCUCAUAUGUCAUAUCAGAGUUAAUUUCAAUCUCCGUCGGACUAAUCACAUGUGAAGGAUCAGAUCGGUAUCUACGGAGCAUCGAAACAUGGAAUACGUUAUGAAUCUUUUCUAACUCAGGCAGUAACAUCAAUCUAUAAGCAACCAAUCCAACUCGCUCUAUAAUCUCAUACGGUCCAAUUAAUCUCGGACACAAUUUGCCUUUACGACCAAAUCUGAGUAUUUUCUUCCACGGUGAGACUUUUAACUUGCUCGGUGUCAACGGUAAAUCGGAUACAAAAUCCAUCGUGACUCGAUCCCAUUUCCAUUGAGGUAUCAUGAUCGGCUGAAGCAAUCCAGAUGGUACCUGAUGCUCGGCUUUAACUUGCUGACAAAUUAAACAUUUCGAAACAAAGUCAGAAAUGUCUCGUUUCAUACCUUGCCACCAAUAGUGCUGUUUUAGAUCGUUAUACAUUUUCGUGCUACCCGGAUGAACAGAAAAUCGAAUACUAUGAGCUUCCUUCAAAAUCAUCUGAAUUAACUCUGAAUUUUUCGGAACACAUAAUCGGUUUCUAAAUCUCAAACAAUCCUCAGCAUCAACUAAAAACUCCGAAUCAAUAUUUAAGUCACAUUGAGCUCGUUUUGCAGUUAAAUCAUUAUCAACCUUUUGAGCUUCACAAAUCUGUUGUACAAAUAACAGUUUUGCUUUCAACUCAGCUACUAUCGCACCAUCAUCAGACAUAACCAUAUGUGCGUUCAUUGCACGCAAAGCAAACAGUGAUUUUCGACUUAGGGCAUCAGCAACAACAUUAGCCUUUCCCGGAUGAUAGUCAAUCACAAGCUCGUAAUCUUUCAGCAAUUCUAACCAUCGACGCUGUCUCAAAUUCAGAUAUUUCUGAGUCAUCAAAUAUUUCAGGCUUUUGGGAUCGGAAUAAACAUGACAUCUUUCGCCAAACAGAUAGUGACGCCAUAUUUUUAACGCAAAUACAAUAGCGGCCAAUUCCAGAUCAUGCGUCGGAUAGUUUUUUUCAUGCGGCUUUAACUGUCUCAAGGCAUAGGCUACAACUUUGCCUUCCUACAUCAAAACACAACCCAAACCAUUUAAAGAUGCAUCACUAUAGAUAACAAACUCUUUACCCGAUUCGGGUUGAACUAGGACUGGAGCUUCGGUCAAAAGAACUUUCAACUGAUCAAAGUUUUUCUGACACUUUUCUGACCACUCGAACUUAACGUCUUUUUGUAGUAGCUUUGUCAUCGGGGUCGCAAUCAUAGAAAACCCUUUCACGAACCGUCUAUAAUAACCAGCGAGCCCCAGAAAGCUUCGAACAUCAGAGACAUUUCUCGGAGGUUUCCAAUCAAGUAUAGCUGAAAUUUUACUUGGAUCAACCUGAAUACCCGAUGCUGACACAACAUGGCCCAGAAAACUAACUUCACGUAACCAGAACUCGAAUUUACUGAACUUUGCAUACAACUGUUUAUCUCGCAAAGUUUGUAACACAAGUCUCAGAUGUUCAGUAUGCUCGGUUUCAUCACGAGAGUAGAUCAAAAUAUCAUCUAUAAAUACUACCACAAACAGAUCCAGAUACUGUCUAAAAAUCUGAUUCAUCAAAUCCAUGAAAACAGCAGGUGCAUUAGUAAGUCCAAAAGGCAUAACCAAGAACUCAUAAUGUCCGUACCUCGUUCGGAAAGCAGUCUUUGGCACAUCAGAGUCUUUAACUCGCAACUGAUAGUAGCCUGAUCUCAGAUCUAUCUUCGAAAACACAGUAGCCCCUUUCAACUGAUCGAACAAAUCAUCAAUCCGUGGUAACGGAUACUUAUUCUUUAUAGUCACCUUAUUGAGUUGCCGGUAAUCAAUGCACAUUCUCAUUGUUCCGUCUUUCUUUUUCACAAAUAGAACUGGUGCACCCCAAGGAGAGAAACUCGGUCGUGCAAAACCUUUAUCAGUCAACUCUUGCAACUGUACUUUCAAUUCUUUUAAUUCAGUCGGUGCCAUACGGUACGGAGCUAUCGAAAUUGGAGUUGUCCCUGGUACUAACUCAAUACCAAACUCUACCUCUCGAAUAGGUGGCAAACCCGGUAAUUCUUCGGGAAACACGUCUGAAUACUUACACACUACUGGCACAGAUUCAAUCUUCUUUUCGAUCACUUUACUAUCAAGAAAAAAUGCAAGGUAAUCUUCACAACCUUUUCUCACAUACUUUUUUGCCGACAUCGAGGAUAUUAUUGCUGGUAAACCAUUCAGAUCAUUAGAUUCAAUCCGAAUAAUCUCAUCAUUCUGACACCGUAGAUCAAUAGUUUUCCGUUUGCAGUUUACUAUAGCAUCAUGCAGAGUUAACCAAUCCAUACCCAGAAUUAUAUCAAACUCGUCAAAUGGUAGCAACAUCAAAUCAGCCAGAAAACAUAAAUCUCGAAUCAUCAACGGACAAUUCUUGCAUAUUUUGUCAACCAAAACACACCGGCCCAGGGGGUUCAAUACUUUAAUUACAAACUCAGUAGACUCAACAGGCAAAGUCUUACUGAAUACUAAAGUCUCACACACAUAAGAAUGAGUCGAACCAAGAUCAAUCAAUGCAAUAACAUUAGUAUCAUAAAGAGGGAAAGUACCAGUAAUAACAUCUGGAGAAGAAGCCUCCUCUUGAGCACGGAUGGCAUAUGCUCUGGCAAGUGCACGAGCCUCAGAUCGAACUGCCAUGUCCUUUGUUCCUCUCUGACUGCCACUUACAUUACUCAAUUGCCUCGGUGGUCUACCUCGUACUGGCACUUUACUCGGUCUGGUAUUCUGCACAGUGUUUUGCUCAGCUACCAUCGGACACUCUCGAAUGAAAUGAUCCUUUGAACCGCACUUAAAGCAAGACCGAUCAUGUAAUCUGCAAUCUCCAGGAUGCCAUUUCCCACAAUACUUGUACUCUGAUCUAUUUUGUCGAACACUACCAACGCUAGCAACUGAAGUAGCUCGUGAACUCACAGGGGGUCGAUCUCGAUCAUACUUAGGAAACCCUGCAGUAGCUUUAGAUCGGCUAUGAUCCUCUCUGGAUUUCAUUGAGGUCGACUGGAAUGAUUUACUGAAUAAUCUUUUACGAGAAUCUCGAGCUUCAUAGCCAGCUUUCCUCUUCUCUUUCCCGAGCUCCUCAACUUUACAAGGUCGUUCAACAAGUACUACGAACUCUUUUAUCUCAAGUAUACCAAAUAACAGUUUAAUAUCUUCAUCCAGCCCAUCUUCAAAUCUUUUACACAUGAUAGCUUCAGUCGAAAUACAUUCUCGAGCAUAUCUACUGAGUCUCACAAAUUUCCGCUCAUAUUCUAUCACUGUCAUACGACCCUGUUUCAAUUUAAGAAAUUACUUACGCUUCUGAUCAAUGAAUCUUUGGCUGAUGUAUUUCUUACAGAACUCAAUCUGAAAGAAUUCCCAGGUCACUCGCUCUUUCGGAACCACCGAUACUAGUGUAUUCCACCAGUGAUAUGCAGUGUCCCGUGGCAAAGAUAUGGCACAUUUCAAGUACUCAUCAGGGGUGCAAGAUAACUCAUCAAACACUCGAAUAGUAUUAUCAAGCCAGAAUUCAUCUCGCUCAGCAUCAUCAUCAUCAGUAGCUCUGAACUCUUCGACCCCGUGUUUUUGAAUUUUGUCAAUAGGAGGCUUAAGUAAUCUCAUCGGAUCACUUACUUGAGGUAUAACAGGAAUCGAAGGUGGAUUAGUCGGGGGUGGAGUUUGUUGUGCAACCGGAUUAGUUCGGACAUAUUGAGUAAACCAGUCAUUCAUCAUUUGGUAGAAGGCUUGUUUAGCCUCUCCCUCCUGGUUACUCGAGGUCGGUCGAGAAUCUACCGGCUCUGUCCCUUGUGUGGGAGCAGGCGCUAUACCCUCAACAUCAUCGACUACGGCUCGAUCGGGAUCCAUUACUAUACGAAAACACAUUUUUAGACAUCAGCAGUCAUCACACUAUCUUGGUAUAAAAAUAUGGCAUGUAUAGCUAGACUCAUACAUGCUACAUUAGUCCAAGAAUCGAUUAAACCGUAGCUCUGAUACCAAUAAAAUGUAACACCCCUAACCCGUAUCCGUCGCCGAAUUAGGGUUACGAGGCAUUACUGAACAAAUACAACCAUUUUUAAAACCAACUGAUCACAAACAUGAAAAUUAAAUCAUUUUCACAUAGCUAUUUAUAAUUUACAAUCAACAUCUAACCAACAUCGUACUCAAACCUAUACAUGCCAUAAGAUCAAGUUCAAAUAUUUAACAAAAUACCAAAAGGGGUCAAAAGUGUGAUAGACUAUGCUGAUGAUCCCCGAGCUCGUAACGCGUCUCCAAAAUCUAUAAAAACAAAUGGACAAAAACAAUCAAAGUAAGCUUUUAUAGCUUAGUAAGUCUAUAGCAUAUCUAAAAUACAUAUAAAAGAAUCAUAUAAUUCUUAAAAUAAAUUUAUUGAAAUCACAAUUAUCAAUUAUAAUUACUAAUCGAACAUUGCUAUAUUAAGUCAUCUUGUUUAAAUCUAAAAGGAUGUGUAUUUAUCUAAUACACAUGAACGGACAAAUGUAUAUACAUUAUAUGCAUAUAAUCAAUUUACUAACAUAAUCAUUAAUUGCAUAUACGGAUUUCUAUAGUACUUAUUGUUCGCACUUCAUCGGAUCCAUUUAAAUAUAAUUGUUCAAAUACAUAUACCAAAAGCAUAAUAAUUUUAUACUUGAUCAACUAUAAGUGCCGAAUGCACAUAUACACCUAUACCCACCUAUGCCGAAUGCAUACAUAUAUACACAUAUAUAUAUAUCCAACAAUUUCAUGACAACCGAUAUAUAUAUACAUACUCACUAUUCACAAGGACUCGAACGAUUAUAUACUCAUCAACCACCUUAAAACAAUGUUCAUAAACUUAUCCAUUUCAUAUAAACAAAAGCAUAUAUAUUUAUACCCAAUGCAUAGAAUCACUUAAUUUAAACAGAUUCACUGGCACUUCACCUGAUAGGCUUAUAGUUUAAUUCAGUUCACCGGCACUUAGCCUACUAGGCUUGUAGCCUGAUUCAGUUCACCGGCACUUAGCCUGCUAGACGUAUAGUCCGAUUCAAUUCACCGGCAUUUAGCCUGCUAGACGUAUAGUCCGAUUCAAUUUACCGGCACUUAGCCUGCUAGAUGUAUAGUCUGAAUAAUUUUACUGGUAAUAAAUCCGAUAGUCAUUUCUCCGUUGAAAUUGAAUUAUAUUCAAUUCUGCGUAACAAACAUGCACUUAAAACAUACUUGCAUAAUUCACAACAAUAAUUUCAGUCCAAAGAGCUGUAAUUCAUAUUCGAACUAUAUAUAUAUAAAUCCAUACAUAAAAAUUCAGCUCAAAAUUUAUAACCUAUAUCUUUGAACCACAUAGGUACAUGAAAUUCAAACAACAAAAUCCAGCUCAAUAACUUCAUGAUUCAACCUAACAAAUUUAUGUAUAUAACUUUUUAUCUAAUUUCAAUACAAUAACUUAUACAUGUACGUAUAUACAUAUUUGAAUCUAACAUAUACAUAUAUAAUUUCAUACUUAAAUAUAUUCAAGACUUAUUCAUGAGUAUACAUAUAUAUUACAACUCACAUGUACAUAUAUAUACACAUUCAUACCUUUAACCAAGUCCAAGGCUUUAUACAUGUAUAUGCUUAUAUAUAUAUAUAUUCGGACCUUAUGUUUACAUAUAUAUUAUAUAUAAAUACCUUUGAUUAAAAACAAGUAUUUAUACAUAUAUAUAUUUUCGAACAUGAUACAUACAUAUAUUUAUAUCAUUCAUACUUAAACAAAAUUCAAUCCAUAUACUUUCAAUUUCAGCUCACCAAAUUACUAUAGAUAUACAUGCAUAUAUACUGAUUUAAUAACCUCAAAUUGCUAAUAGACUUACCUCGGAUAUCAGCGGACACGAUCGACUAUUCGAUUACUUUCGUUUUUCCCCGAUCCAAAUUCGUUUUCUUCGUUUUUUUAUCUUAAUUAGACCUAGAGAUAGCCGAACCUUGUUGUUCUCUUUUCUUUUCUUUUCUUUUUCUUUUCUAUAUUCGGCCAAGAUGAAGAACAUGGCAUUUAAAAUUUGUUAUAUUAAACAUAUAUUAGCCUUAUUUUUAAUUUACUAUAUUAACCUUUACAUAUAUAUAACAUAUAUAAUAAGGUUACAUUAGUCCUUUGCCACCCACUAACUUACAUAGUGGACUAAUUGCAUAGUAAAACCUCUAAAUUAUAAAGACAACAACAAUUAGGUGCUUUUAUAAUUAACCCCUAAAUUUUCAUUUUACGCGAUUAAGCCCUUUUAUUAAAUCGGACACUUAAACAACGAAAUUAAAACACGAAAAUUUCACACAAUCAAAUGCAUACAAAAUAAUAUUAAUAAUAUUUUUCUAAUUCAAAUUUGUGGUCCCGAAACCAGUAUUCUGAUUAGGGUCAAAAACUGGGUUGUUACAACUCUCCCCCCUUAGGGAUUUUCGUCCCCGAAAAUCUUACCGGUGAAUAGGUUUGGAUAACGCUCUUUCAUUGUAUCUUCUGACUCCCAAGUUGCUUCUUCAACCCCAUGUUUAUGCCACAACACUUUAACUAACGGAAUUUUCUUAUUUCGUAAUUCUUUGAUCUCACGAGCCAGAAUGCUAAUCGGUUCUUCCUCAUAUGUCAUAUCAGAGUUAAUUUCAAUCUCCGUCGGACUAAUCACAUGUGAAGGAUCAGAUCGGUAUCCACAGAGCAUUGAAACAUGGAAUACGUUAUGAAUCUUUUCUAACUCAGGCAGUAACAUCAAUCUAUAACCAACCGAUCCAACUCGCUCUAUAAUCUCAUACGGUCCAAUGAAUCUCGGACUCAAUUUGCCUUUACGACCAAAUCUGAGUAUUUUCUUCCACGGUGAGACUUUUAAAAACACUUUAUCCCCGAUCUGAAAUUCUAUAUCCUUUCUUUUCAAAUCCGCAUAAGAUUUCUGACGAUCCGGUGCUGAUUUCAGACUGUCCCGAAUCACUUUCACUUUCUGUUCGGUCUCUUUAAUCAAAUCAACCCCGUGUAUCUUAUUUUCACUGAGCUCAGUCCAAUACAGUGGUGUACGACAUUUACGACCGUACAAAGCCUCAUAAGGUGCCAUUUUGAUACUAGAUUGAAAGCUAUUAUUAUAAGCAAAUUCAAUCAAAGGUAAGUAUCGUUCCCACGUACCUUCAAACUCGAGAAUGCAACAUCUCAACAUAUCCUCAAGUAUCUGAAUGAUUCGUUCAGAUUGACCAUCUGUCUGCGGAUGGAAAGCUGUGCUAAAAUGUAGUUUCGUACCUAAAGCUGUGCUAAAAUGCACACAAAAUAAACACACAAAAUAAUAUUAAUAAUAUUUUUCUAAUUCGGAUUUGUGGUCCCGAAACCACUAUUCCGAUUAGGGUCAAAAACCGGGUUGUUACAAUUCUGCUUCUUCUGCAUCAUCAUCUUUGGUAGCUCGAAAUUCUUCAGCCCCUUACUUCCUAAUCUUAUCAACAGGUGGUCUCUCACUGAUGACUAUACCUGCAGCUAGGGAAACUACAUGAGGAACCUGUGAAUCCUGAAGGGGUGGAGGUCUUACACCCGGAUUCAUACGAACGAACUCGGCAAACCAAUCAUUCAUGGCUUGGAAGAAGGCUUCUCUAGCUCCUCCUCCCUGUCUAACUGAUGCAGGUCUUUCACUAACGUUAACAUCUAGUGGCACCGUCCUUUCUGCGGAAGUAGGCGCAUUACUCUCUACUUCAUCUGCACCAGCUCGUUCAGGAUCCGUAACUAUAAAAUAAAAUAUUUUAAAAUCGUCAAGAGUCGUCACACUAUCAAAAUAUAUAAGUAUGGCAUGUAUAGGUAGACUUUUAUUCAUACUGCAUAUUUCUGAGAACCGAUUAAACCUGCUCUGAUACCAACAAAUGUAACACCCCUUACCCAAGACCAUUUUCGGAGUCGAGCACGAGGCAUUACUUAUCUUAUCUUACUAACUCGAAGCAUAAAAACUUAUUUUAAAAAUUAAUUUCACUAUUUACAGCAAUCUGUCCAAUCGAGCAGCAGUUACUAAAUUAAUAAUAACUCGAGCUACGGAACUUGAAAUUUAACUUCGUAAAUUUUCACUGAAACUAGACUCAUAUAUCUUCCUACCAUAAAGUUUUUAGGAUUUUUUGUUUAGCCAACUAGUACAGUUUAUUAGUCAAAUUCUCCCCUGUUUCACCAAUCGAUUGCCUUGACCUCUUAUCACUAAAAAUAAAAUUUCUCAAUGUGGGAUUUUCGUAUAGUGCUACUGCUUGCUUCUACAAAAAAUAGACUCAAUAAGGAAUCUAUAAAUAUAAACUACAGCUCCUAAAUAUUUUUUUAAAAAUUUUAAUGAUUUUCUAAACUCAAAAUAGGGGUCACCAAAAACUGUUCUAACCCUGUCUCACCAAAAUUCACAUAUCUUAAAAUAUAAAAUUCAUUUUGCUACACCGUUAUUUUUAUCUGAAAAUAGACUCAACAAGAUUUAAAUUCAUAUAUCAUUCACUCUUUAAUUCAUUUUAUACUAUCCUAGGUGAUAUUUCAAAGUCACGUCGUUGUUGCUGCCUGAAUUCUGUUUCUUUGCAAAAUUGUACCAUUUUAUGAUUUCCAUGCAUAGUUUAUCACUUACACUCUUAUAACAACAAACACUUCCAUACUUCACCAUUUUAGCAACCAUUCAUCAUCAACUACUUACAUAUCAUUCUUUAUCAAGAUCAUAAAUACAAACAUUUAAAAUAACUAAAUCCCUAUACAUUCCAUACUCAACAUGGUUCAACAUAAAAAUACCGAGUUGCUGUGGCUGAUAGUGUGGACGAUCUCCGACUUCUUUAGGAUCCUUGAAGUAACCUUGCAAUACUAUAAGAGAAAGAGAAAUAAAAGACGUAAGCAUAAAGCUUAGUAAGUUUACUAGCAAAUAAAUAACAAUAUUUAACUCAGAUAAUUAAACUCAAGUGUCUAUAUCUCUAGUUUACUCUUUAGUUAAUCCCAUUCUAGUUCUCUUGCUUGUUUACUUAGUAUACUUGUGUGCAUAACUUAAUCUUCUCUUGCUGUAUCGUUGAAUAUCAAUUGAUAAUAUAAUAAGUUCUUAACUCUUAUAACUUACCUGAACUUGCCAUUUAUGUUUUUAACUGAACUUUCCUGAACAUGAUUCGUUAUUUAGCCCGUUGAGCUACAUUGGAACAAUAAGGAUACUCGGGUCUCUUCUGAUAAUAACAUGCCAAAGCCAUGUCCCAGACAUGGUCUUACAUGGGAUGUACUCAUGUCGGUGCCCAUUCCAUGUCCCAGACAUGGUCUUACGGGGGACCUCUCAUCUCGGUGCCAAUGUCAUGUCUCAGACAUGGUCUUACAUGGGACCUCUCAUCUCGGUGCCAACACCAUGUCCCAGACAUUGUCUUACAUGGGACCUCUCAUUUCGGUGCCAACGCCAUGUCCCAGACAUGGUCUUACAUGGGACCUCUUUAUCCAAAUGUCAUGACAUUCGUAUCCAGUAUUAUCCUUAUGUAUCAACGGGACUUUUUAAUUUUAAUUCUCUAUCAUUUCAUGCUUGGAUAAUCAUCAAAUAAAUUCAUGAAAUAAAUUCAUAGUUGCUGGAAAAUAGCAGCAUUAAUAAAAAUUAUUGAAAUAUUUCAUUUAUUUACCGUAAACUUACCUUGGUACCGAAUAUAGCCCAAUUCACCAACUUAGUCUUCAACUUUAUUCUUUCCUUUGUCUAACCUCGAGUUUCAUUCUUCUUGAUCUAAAAUAGAAAAUUUAACUUAUUUAAUACUCACAUUCAUCAAAACAGCCCUCGACUCUAACUUUUCAAAAUUAUGAUUUUGCCCCUAAACUUUUACAUAAUUACAUUUUUCCCCAAGGCUCGAAAAUUCAACUUCAUCUCAUAUUCUUAUGUUUUAUGGCAUGCUGAAUAUUUUUCUCUUCUAUGACAAUAUCAAAUUCUCACUCUAACACUUACUUAUGUACAUUAGAGAUUUUUACCGAUUAUGUCAACUUACUCGUUUUUGCUUAAAAUCGGCUAACAAAAGUUGUUUAACAUAAUUUAUAGCUUCAUAUUCUAUCAUAAAACAUCAAAAUAAACACUUUUCACCUAUGGGUAUUUUUCCAAAUAUAAACCCUAGGUUAAAUUAUUGCUAGAAUAAGCUAAAUUAAGUUACCGGGACUCCAAAAACGUAAGGAACAUUAAAAACGGGGCUUGGGAUCACUUACUAUGGAGCUUGGAAGCUUGAAAACCCUAAAUAUGGCUUACCCCCUUGCUGAUUUCGUCCAAAUGAAGAAGAUGAGCAUAAUUUGUCAUCUUUUUCCCUUUUAAUUCAUUUUAAUUACUAGAUUACCAAAUUGCCCCUAACUUAAAAAUUUCCUAUUUCACUUAUCUCAUGUCCAUUUUUGUCUAAAAACUUAACCAAUGGUCUAAUUACCAUAUAAAGACCUCCAAUUUAAAGUUUCAUAACAAUUGGACACCUCUAACAUGUAGAACUCAACUUUUGCACUUUUUGCAAUUUAGUACUUUUGACUAAAUUGAGUGCCCAAACUUCAAAAUUUUCGAAUAAAAUUUUCAUGAAAUCAUUUUGUGAAAUCAUAGACCAUAAAAAUAUAAGAAAAAUAAAAUUUUCCUCAUCGGAUUUGUGAUCCCGAAACCACUGUUCCGAUAAUCUUAAAUUUGGGCCAUUACAUGAUCACCUUUUUACUAGCUCAUACAUCUCCUACAUCAGACCUUACAUGCAUGCUUACCAAACUUUAUUCUUUUUAACAAAACUUUAUACAUAUCAUCGUAGCACAUCUUUCAUCUUUACUAAACUCAUAUUUUUACCAAUUUCUGUAGACAUCAUCAUCAUCAUCCUAUAUAUAUGCUUCUUGUUUGAACAGUUCAUAUCAAAGAGUCAAGAUAGAGACCCACUUGACACUCACCUACUGCAGUUCAAAGCUCUAAACUUAACCAUCCUUCUCAAACCAGCAGUAAAAACUGCUUAUAGAACAUAGAAUCACCAUUAAAAACCCAUUUACAUACAAAUUACUAUCAUCUUAAUCACUUUUCCACUGUUAAUUUAUAAAUAAGUGUUAAGUAGUAAAUAAAUAAAAAAAUUAACUAAGUUUUCAAAAAAAAAGUCACUGUGACGAGAAGAAUGUUAAAAUUAAUUGGUGUUUGUUAACUCAUAUGUUUUUCUAAAAAUGGGUUAAGUUUUCUUCUGAAAUAAACAAAUGUUUUAAAAUGAUUGUUUUAUAAACUCCGAUCGUACUAUCCCAUCUUGGUGGCUGAUGUAAUAUCCCAAAUUCAGGUCUAACAUCUAAGUCGGGUUGGAUAGGUUACAAUAUAUAUAGAAAGAUUGAUAAAUAAUGCAAACUUGAAUACAAGCAAAGAAAGAAAUCAAUCAAUGUGAAUGACUAACAAGUUUAAAAUCAUAUAUUUGCAUUAUAUUUUGUAAAGCACAAGAUUGUCAUGGAAUUAGACAAUUUGUUUUGAUAAUGGUUAUAUUUUAUAUAGAUUUACUUUUAUGCACUUUCAUAUUGAGUUGAUCAAAAGUUUUGAAACUUUAUAGAAAAUUUGAAUGAAAGAGCAUAUUGAUAUAUAUGCUAUCUUGAGUGUUGAAUUAAGCAUUCUUUAGUAAAAGAGUGUACAUUUCGCACAUGGUAGGUGUGUUGGUUUCUUAUAUAUUAAUUAAGCACAAAUUAAAGAAAAAUAAUAUAUAUCACCAUAGUGUUGUAAUAUUUUGUAUAAUUUGUGAAAUUAUACAAGCAAAUAAGUUUACCUAUCUUGUUAAAUAAAACUCAUUAAGUUGGUUCUUAAUCUUGAAGAAUUAAAUAGGUUGGCUUCUUUAUUCAUUUUAUCCAACUACAAGUUAGAUUAAAGUUGUGGAAAUAGAAUGGUUGAAAAUUUGUGUUAAUGAGAAUUAGAGUUAUGGCCACAACUGAUGCCAACUAUUUCCUAAAAACAGGGAAUGAUGUCCAAAAACAUGCUGUAAAAUAAAAAUUUGGACAUGUUAGAAUAUGAAUUUAUUAUAUUAUAGUUUCAAUGUAAUACCCUUAUCCCAUCUCUGUUGCCGGAUUAGGAUUUCAGAGUAUUACUGAGAAAAAUAGAACAUUUAACUUUCCAACAGAAACAAUUGUACAAUUAAAUACCAACAUAUAACAAUUGAAUCUAAUCAUGGCAAAUAUUACACUUUUGGACCUUGAAUCGAGCCUAUGGGGCCCUAGAAACAGUUUAGGAACAAUCUGGGAUCAAAUCAAAACAAAUCAGAACAUUUUGAAAAAACAUAAAAAUUUAGGAAUACAGAGGUCACAGGCCAUAUGGCCAAGUCGUGUGACAUAGCCUAGAUUGUGUAAACAUCCGAAGUCAGGACACAUAGCUGUGUCCCAGCCUGUGUGUCUACUCAUGUGUAUAUUUGAAAUAGGGUCACACAGUCGUGUUGCAGACUGCCAAACGUGUGUGUAUUCAAAGUGAGGUCGCAAGACCAUGUGGCCGACCGUGCCACAAACUGUUUUGAGACACAAGGUCAUGUCUCAGACCGUGUAAAACAUGCACUUAAAAUAAUAAAUACACACGACCGUAUCUAGUGACUAUGUGUGGCACAUGGUCGUGUGGUAGCUUGUGUCUCAGGUCGUGUGCUCCAUUUUUAACCCCUAAAUCAAGCCAAUCAAGCAUCAUUUCUUAUACAACAAGACAUACCAUAUCUAACUAAUUUUACAUGGUUAAAAACACAUUCAAAUCAACAAAUACAUGCCAAAAUUUCGUUCAUCCUAUGUCUAACCAAUAUGCCAUCAAAAGGCACCUCAAUCCAUACAUCCAUUCAACUCAAGAACAAAGUUACAAUAAAUGAACAAGUUUUAUCAUUAGUUAACCAUUCAUGCCUAAAACCACUAAUCUAAUUGACCAAAAUAUGGGCAUACUCAACAAGCAACCAUUUCAAAACAUCAUCAUCAAAUCUUUAUAUACCAUUUAUGAUCAACUUAAUUAUAUUCAACACAAGUACACAUCCAAAAUCAAGCACAUCACUAAGUAUGCCAAAAUAACUUAACUAUUUACAUAUCAACAAUAAGACACCAUAUCCCAAAAUGAAAUAAAAAAGCUACCAAGAUGGUUGGAUAGUGUGUGCUCCAAAACAAUUCAUCCGGUUAGUCCACAAAACGCCAAAUCAACCAAUAUAGAUAAACAAAAAGGUAAGUUCUAAUUCUUGAUAUUCAAAUGCAAGAUCACACCACAUUAGUAUAUAUUUAUUUACAUCAUAAAUGAUACCUUCCAAAAUUCAUAACCAAUUCAUCAUCCACAAUUUCUCAAUACAACCAUUAAUAUUUAUAAACAAGAACUUCAUAGUAACAUUUAUCAUUUAGUAGUAAUAUAAUUAUCCAACAAAAUUGAACAAAUAAAUGCGUUUUAAGUCAUUUGAUACAUAGCCUGCUGAACUAUAGUAACUUGACUCGGAUACUCAUGAUACUACAUCACACCAAAGGUAUCAAUGAUGCAUAACAGAGGCACCGAAGUGCAGACAAAUGCAUGAAUGUGCAAUCAGAGGCACCGAAGUGAAAACAGAUGCACCAAAGUACAAACCCGUACGAGUGCGCAUUAAAACCCUAUUGGCAUGCUAAUCGUAUCCUAAUUGUUUACUACGUUCAACUGGGCAUUAUACUUAAAAUCAUAAUAUCAAUAAAUCCAUCAUUUAGAGGCACUUCUUAUUUCCGUACACAUACUAUAAAUAUGUAACUUUCAUUUCAAUAAUAUGCAAUAACAAUAAUUACCAUCAUCAAACAUUCAUUUUCUAUUUGUACUUAAUUGCAAAAUUUAAUAAUAUAUAAGUAACUCAUGAAAUUUCACAUAUAUACCAUUAACUAGAAAACAAUAAUAUAAUCAUAAAGUGACACACAUAUACAUAUUAUUACACUAUGAACUUACCUAAAAUCUACUUUCGAUUAAUACACAGGGACUACUCCGCUAUUUUUUCCCUUUUCUCGGUUAUUGUCUUUUUGACUCGGUUCUUGAUCUAUAUAGUAAUUAAAUUCAAUUUAUGAAAUUCACAUACAUUUAAAACUCAAUUCAAUGCAUGAUACCCUUAUGUUUUCAUUAUUUUCACAUUUUUCUUAAACUUUUACAUUUCUCACAAUUUAGUCCCUACAAAAUUUAACAAAAUUUUACAAUUUUCCAUGUUAGUUGAACUUCUUUCGAAACUAGUACAAUCCCUAAUUAUUCACAAUUCACAAAAUUUCUAUGCAAAUUUUAAUAAUUCACACAUUGAUCAUUAAACUCAAAAUUAACACAAAUUUUUUUACAAAAAUAUCCUAAUCAACAUUCAAAUAUGUACAACUACCAUUAAAAAUCAUGAACACCAAAAUUCCAUUACUAACCAAUCCCUAAAACUUUAACAUUUUUAUAAUUCCAUCCUCGGGUUUAAUAGUUUAAGUUACAACGAGUUCAAAAACGUAAAAAUUAUUAAAAACAGGUAAGAGAAACACUUACAUGCACCAAUUUGCUAACCGAAACUUCAAGCUCCAAAAAUGGAGUUUUUUUUUUCUUUUUCGGUGGGAGAGAGUUGAGAAGAUGAUGAUACCAUUUUUUUCUUUUGUUUCUUUUCUUUAAUCAAACUAAUUACUAAAUUAUCCUUUUAAUCUAAACUAAAUUAUUAACAUAGCAUGUCCGUAAUUAUCCAUUAACUAACCAUAAGGUUUAUCUAUCAACCAAGUCCAUUACUUUAGUUUUUCUUUAAAAAUCAAGCACAUUUAACAAAUAGAAGCCACUUUAGCAUCUUUUACAAUUUAGACCUUUUUACUAAAUUAACUAAACAGACAUUAAAAUUUCUUAGCCAAAUUUUAUUAUGACUCCAAUAUAACUCUAUAAGCAUAAAAUAAACAUAAAAUACUAACUCAUUUGUCGAAAUUGUGGUCCUGAAACCACCUUUUUUGAUACCACUGAAAAAUGAGAUAUUACAUUAAAUCUCUAAUUUAUGAUAAUGAAUGUGAGAGAAUAAUUUUCUUUGUUUAGAAAUACUAAUCAUUUUCUUUGUUUAGUAAUACUACAACUAGAAUGUGUUUCGACCCUAUUAUUAGAAACUAAUAAUGGAAACCCAACUUUUAAUUAGAAACCUCUAAUUUUAAAGUUUAAUAGGUAACACCCCGAAUUUUGGCCCUAGAAGAAAUAUGUUUUGAACAAGGGAACAGUUAGGAGACUGCACAUAAAUAUUUAGUUGUGCAAGGAAGUGACAUAAAUGAAUGUCUACUUCAGUGGUUGAGUGAUUUAGGAGUGUUUGGAACUGUCUGAGAAGUCAGGGAUUCAAGCAUUGCUUAUGCAAAAUUUUUAUUUUAAGUGAAUAAAAUCAUUGGAUCUAGAUAGUAAGUUCUUAAAUUAUUGUGGUUAAAAUAUGAUGCAAAAGAGUUGUUGGUCUAGUGGUAAGGGGUGUGUGGAGUGCACAUAGGGCCUAAGGUUCGAGUGGUGGCGCAUCAGAAAGGAAAUAUUUAUUUUGCUACUUGAGCUGUUUAGGUAGUGGAGUUGGACUGAAACACAACUAAGGGGAGUUUGCAUAGAAUUUGAAUGGAGUUGUUGGGGGAGUUGAGGAGAAACCGGUAGAAUAAUUUAAGGAGGGAUAAGGGGAGAGAUUUUAGGAGAAAAUCAAGGGAAGUGAGGGGAGUGAAGAAGUGUGCCGAAAGUGGACUUUGAUACUCAGGAAAUUUGGCCAGAAGGGAUACUGCUCAUUUUGGUAUACUUUUCAUUUCGGUUUUGUGUAGUGUUUCUCUCUCUUUUUGCUUUUUGGUGCCGAAUUUUUGCUAAGAUUUCGAGUACCACUCGGGUUUUUCUUUUGCUGCUUUUUUCUUUUAUCAUUUCUUUUGUUUUGGCCGAAUUUCUUUUUAGUUCCCUCCUUUGUCGAAUUCUUUUCUCUCUUCUCUUUGUUGCUUCUUUUCAUUUCUCUAUUUUUCCAAACCUUGACCGAACAGUGUUGAAGUAGUUCUGUGUUCCAUCUUUUGUCUAAAAUGCUCUUCUUCCUCUACUCCUUUUGAUCAACUAUUUGUCGAAUAUUGCCUUCUCUCCCCUUUUAUCUCUUUAAAUUUAUUUUCGGCUUGACAACAAUUCUCUAACAGUUCAAAUUUCUUGAGGAGUGAAAAAGUAUCGCAUAAUAUUAAAGUCAUCGAAACCUUUCUCUCAUCACUCGAUCAAAGGUAAGUAUGUAGGCUAGCAUUCUAAAGUGUAGGCUGAGUGCUUUCUAUGGUUUCAUAAGUUAUUAUGUUUGGAUUUAAACCACAUGAAUAAACAAUCCUAUUUAAUAAAAUCCGUUUGUAAUGCAGAUAUCCAUCAAAGAGAUUGUAGUCAACCUUCGUCAGUGAUAUAAGUAGGCUAAGUCACAUUUGACAAUCGAGGCUUUGGUGCUCGUGGAUCUUAGAGUGUUUUCACAAUCAGGUGUGUAAACACCCCACUGUAACCGUAGAACGACAAAAAGCUAAAAGGCCAAAAAUACGGUGUUUGAGACCACACAGGCGUGCGAUCUCUCAUGUGGUAAGCCCAACCCACAAAUCAUGGCCGAUAGACUGUAGAGGCCUCCAUGAACAUUUCCAUGGGCUUAGGCCGUAAUGGGCCACGUUGGGCCGAAAUGGGUCGUGUGGGUUCAAUAGGCUCGUGGGCACCAUACAGAUGAGAACCACGAUUUGUGAAAAAUACUGGACUGGGCUAUGAAGAUCUCAUAGCCGUGGAAAAAUCUGGGCUGAACAGGCCGCACAAGCGUGCGGGCCUACUUGGGCCGAGUAAUGGGCCUUAGGCCCAUUUGUACCAUUAUGACCAUUUAGGUUACCUGAGUCGCUCGAGGUAACUACGGACCUUUCGAGAGGUCGAUAUCUGCACCAAGACCCAAAAUAGGUAAAAUGAUCGAAAUACCCCUAUAGAGUAAAAUGACCGAAAUACCCCCAAAGGAUAAAAUGAUUGAAAUACCCCUAUAAGGUAAAACGAUCGAAAUACCCCCGUAGGAUAAAAUAACUAUUAUACCCCUAGAAGAUGAAAUGACUGUUAUGGCCUUAUGCUAUGUAUGACUGUUUUGCUCUAUGAUAUGUAUGACUAUGGUUGAGCAUGACAUUUUUCAUACACGUAUGAUAUUAUGUCAUGAUAUAUUGCAUGGGGAUGGAUUGUUAUAUUUGGAGGAAGUGUACUGUACUGACAAGGUUGCACGGGUCGCCCAAGACGACUGUGGACCUACUGAUGGCUAUAUGCCAUUUAUUUUACUGGCAGCUUUGCUGCAAUACUGUUUAAUGCUGCAACUGGUGCUAAUCUUGGUGUGUUUGGAUGGAUGGGUAGAUUUUAUCCCCCAUAUGGUGUGUUUGGCGGAACUGUAACACCCUUAACCUGAAUCCAUUCUGACAUUGUCUCACAAAAUUUAUUAUAUCUCAUAGUUUACAAUUUUAUUACUUACACCAUUUCUUCCAUGAGAAACUAGACUCAAUAAGUUUUAAUUCUAUAUUUUAUUCAUACUCUAAUUCGAUUUUCAUAAUUUAUGGUGAUUUUUCAAAGUGAGCCUACUGUUGUUGUCCAAAACUAUUUUAGUACAAGAUGUUUAUUACCAUGUUUAUAACACCCUUAUUUUCUUUCUCUACACUAUUUCUCAUCCCUUUCUCUUAUUUUCUCUUCACUUACAUAUUAAGAACAUAGGACCAUAUAUACAAAAAAACUUUACACUAACAUCAUUUCCAUACUUUUUCAAUAAUAUCAAACUUAAAAAUAUACUAAAAUCUUGAUGUACUUACCUUGUCAUAUUGAUUUUAAUCUUUAACUUGAUUUUCUCUCUCCUCCAGCUUCUAUUUCUUGAAUCUAACUUGAUAUUAUAGCUCCCCAUAGUCUCCUUGUAAUCUUUCUCUCUUGAUGGAUAUGGAAAUUCUUUUGAUUUCUAGAUGAAAAUAGUGAAUUUUUGGUGAAAGGACUAAAUUGUAAAGAAAGCAAAACUUUCUUUCUUCUCUUCUCCUCUUAACGUGAAUUGCAUGGAAAAGAUGGUGGGUUGGUUCCUUUUCAUCUUUCUUUCCACAUAUAUAUACUAAAUAAUAAAAUAAUAAAAUAUCAUUUAAAAAUCAAAUUAAAAUACUAAUAAACUAAUAUUUAUUUGUUUAUUUAAUCUAAAAUAUCUCCAACAUCAUCAUUAUCUUCUAGAUUUCUCUCUCUUCUAAUUGACCAUUUUGCCCUUCAUGAUAUUUUAAAAUUCCAUCCUUGAGUCAUCACUUAAUUUCGUAAAAUUUCAAUUUAGUCCCUCAAAAUUCCUCACCUUUUUUCAAUUUAGUCCUAAUACAUCCAUUUUCCUUAGUUUCUAGAUCAUUCCACCCUUAAAAUAUUUACACCAUUGGUCCUUCAAUUUUUUCAUAUUUACACUUUAACCCCUCAAUUUUUGAGUAUUUACUCUUGGGCAACAAAAUUUUUACGAUUUAAUCCUUUCUUGAGGUAAUAUGUCAUAAUAUACUUCCCAAUGUUGACAUAACUCCAAAAUUCCCUUUUUUGUCGCUUUAUUUCCUUAUUUUUUUAUAUCAAAGAUAAUAUCUUACUGUAAAAAUUUUUUUGGGGGGUAUUACAUUUCUCUCCCCCUCAAAAUAAAUUUCGUCCUCGAAAUUUCCUUAUUUUCUUUUGAUCAUGAACUUAUUUUUUCUUUAAUUCUAUAGUUCAUUUUUUUUGCAUAUAUUUACUUAGCUUAUCAUUUGUGUCUAUUCUUUAUUCUUUCAUUUCACAAUUUAUUUUUAAUUUAAUAUUUCAAACAUGAAUCAGAGAUAAACUUUUACCUUGUAACUAAAAUUAUUUACCUUUUUACCUGAGGCCCAGUGGACUAAAUAGAACACGUAGGAUAUAUGAAAUUGAUACAGAAGUGCUCUGUUAUACAUCAUUAAACAGAGAGCACUAAAGUGUUAUACGGGAGCAUAAAUGUGCUAAUAAUUGGAGAGCACUAGCGUGCUAUUAAUCAGAGAGUGCGCUAAGGUUCCUUAAUGAUAUACUACUAAUAUCCUAAUAGUUCUAAUCUCAUCUACUUGGGCAAAUUAUAUCAUGCAUGCAUACGACUUUUACACUUUGCGCAUAAUGCUUUUACAUACUUUACAAUUUAAACCUUGUACCAAUGAUUCGUAUAUUUAUACCUUCUCUACCUUUAAUACAUGUAAUAUAUUUCAAAAUUCACUAAUAAUCCAUAUAUAUCAUGUACUUCAUAUAUCAUUUUUACAUAUUAUGCAAUUUAGUCAUCAGCGCAAUAUUUCUUGUAGCAAUAUGUUUUUCUUUUAAUGACACAUAUAACAUUCAUCAUCGACAUGUAUUAUAAAACAUUUAUUCAUACUUUCAUGAGUUCCAAUUCAUCCUAAUCAAUUUUUUUUACUCAUAUACUUGAGUAUCACUUUCAACAUUAUCAGAAUUAGCUCGGUUAGGAAAACAUCUCUGUUUAUAAGUAAAACAAUUCUCAUCAGACUCGAGAGAUAUCACACUAUCACAGGUUACAUAAUGGCAUGCAUUUCUAGACUUCACAUAAGCUACGUUUGGUCCAAGAACCGACUAAAUCGUAGCUCUGAUACCAAUAAAUGUAACACUCUUAACCCGAAUCCAUUCUGACAUUGUCUCACAAAAUUUAUUAUAUCUCAUAGUUUACAAUUCUAUUACUUACACCAUUUCUUCCAUGAGAAACUAGACUCAAUAAGCUUUAAUUCUAUAUUUUAUUCAUACUCUAAUUCGAUUUUCAUAAUUUAUGGUGAUUUUUCAAAGUGAGCCUACUGUUGCUGUCCAAAACUAUUUUAGUACAAGAUGUUUAUUACCAUGUUUAUAACACCCUUAUUUUCUUUCGCUACACUAUUUCUCAUCCCUUUCUCUUAUUUUCUGUUCACUAACGUAUUAAGAACAUAGGACCAUAUAUACAAAAACUUUACAUUAACAUCAUUUCCAUACUUUUUCAAUAAUAUCAAACUUAAAAAUAUACUAAAAUCUUGAUGUACUUACCUUGUCAUAUUGAUUUCAAUCUUUAACUUGAUUUUCUCUCUCCUCCAGCUUCUAUUUCUUGAAUCUAACUUGAUAUUAUAGCUCCCCAUAGUCUCCUUGUAAUCUUUCUCUCUUGAUGGAUAUGGAAAUUCUUUUGAUUUCUAGAUGAAAAUAGUGAAUUUUUGGUGGAAGGACUAAAUUGUAAAGAAAGCAAAACUUUCUUUCUUUUCUCCUCUUAACGUGAAUUGCAUGGAAAAGAUGGUAGGUUGGUUCCUUUUCAUCUUUCUUUCCACAUAUAUAUACUAAAUAAUAAAAUAAUAAAAUAUCAUUUAAAAAUCAAAUUAAAAUACUAAUAAACUAAUAUUUAUUUAUUUAUUUAAUCUAAAAUAUCUCCAACAUCAUCAUUAUCUUCUAGAUUUCUCUCUCUUCUAAUUGACCAUUUUGCCCUUCAUGAUAUUUUAAAAUUCCAUCCUUGAGUCAUCACUUAAUUUCGUAAAAUUGCAAUUUAGUCCCUCAAAAUUCUUCACCUUUUUUCAAUUUAGUCCUAAUACAUCCAUUUUCCUUAGUUUCUAUAUCAUCCCACCCUUAAAGUAUUUACACCAUUGGUCCUUCAACUUUUUCAUAUUUACACUUUAACCCCUCAAUUUUUGAGUAUUUACUCUUGGGCAACAAAAUUUUUACGAUUUAAUCAUUUCUUGAGGUAAUAUGUCAUAAUAUACUUCCCAAUGUUGACAUAACUCCAAAAUUUCCCUUUUUGUCGCUUUAUUUCCUUAUUUUUUUAUAUCAAAGAUAAUAUCUUAGUGUAAAAAAAAAUUUUUUGGGUAUUACAGGAACAGAGUGGUGUGUAGAGGCUGGAUUGGGUAGGAUUUCUAACUGCAUAUCUACACUAAUUAAUGAUUUUGUAUUGUUACUACAUCGAUUAAUGAUAUUACAUACUGUUUACUGCAUGACUGAUAUUUGUUGCUGUUAUGGGCCAAGGCCCCACUGAUACUAUUACUGAAAUUGGGCAAAUGCCCUAUUGAUUAUUGGUAUUGUGAUGGGCUCAAGCCCAAUCGUUUAAUGUUACGGGAAAGGGCUUAGGCCCACACUGAACUGGACUGUUACUAUAACAGGCUCAGGCCCAAACUGUAUUUAUCUAUUGUUUAAUUGACUACUUACUUGUUAGGGGAUUGCACACUGAGUUUUCGUAAACUCAACCCGUUGUUUAACUGUACAGGUAAUCCCUAGUUGUAGUAGGGUCAGUGCUGCGAGGGACUCGAUGAUGGCCACACAACUGCAUCAGCUUUUGUUUUUAGCCUUUGAUUUAUAAGAAACUGAAUUUGGGUAUUUUUAUGUAAAAAGGCCUCUUUAAAGUUAUAAACUUUAAAUUGGGGUUUUUAUUUAUUUAGUUUGAUAUAAACUACUAGUUGUAGAAAAAGACGGGUUUUCAAAAGGUAAAUGUUUUCAAAGUUUCAAAAGGUAAAUGUUUUCAAAGACACCACGUUUUCGCAACAUUUCUAAAAAAAAACUUCCGCAAUGAAUGAGAUUUUGGAAAAUUUAUAACGUUUUAAAAGUGAUUAGCUUUUAAUGAUGCAUGCUUGGAAAUGAACAACCCGUUUUGGAAUCAUAGUUUAACAGCAAAAUGAUUAAUUGAUUUUAAAGAUUUCAACGACAACAAGUUUUACGCUAAACACCUUAAAGUGACACCGCCAGAUUCAACCAUAACUCCUAGGCCGGGUUUGGGGUGUUACAAUGUGUUUCAACCCUAUUAUUAGAAACUGAUACCCUAUUAUUAGAAACUGAUAAUGGAAACACAACUUUUAAUUAGAAACCUCUAAUUUUAAAAUUCAAUAGGUAAAAGCAAGUUAUCGUUAAGUGCCUGUGAUACGCUAGUAAAACUCAUUCUAGAAAAAAAAGUUUAAUGGAAACAAUUGUUAUCCAUUGCGUAUAGAGGAUGAAUUUGAAUACUAUUAAUUAAGUUCAUUGUUUAUUGUUUAAAUGUCUAAAGUAAGGGAGACAUUAAAAGAACUCUACCUUUAUAAACAUAAGAAGUGGUGCCACUUCAACAAGUAAAGGUAGGGUCUCUCUUGUAAAUGUUUAUUAUGAACAAGAUAAGCACAUGAUCAUUUUAGUGCUAAAAGUGAACAACCUCUGAUAGAAAUAUAAACGAAUAUUAUGUAUAGUGUAUUUCAACUUCUAAUACUAGGAGUUGUGGUUCAAUCUUCGGACACCGACAACUUAUUAAAACUUUGAAAAGCAUCCGCUUAUUGAUGGUUCAUAUUGAGAGGUAUCAUCUUUAAUGCAUAAUAUUUGUUUGAGUGAAUGACCAUAAAGUAUGGUACCAACAUUUAAACUAAGGGUGAUUGUUAGUAGUUUAUAAUUUUGGCAGUAAAAAUAUUUUAUUAUGUAGAAAAGUCUAAUAAAUUAUAAUUAUUGGUCAAAUAGUUGUGUUGUAAAGACAAUUUUUGUAUGUAAAGUUGUCUUAUAAACUUUAUGUAAAGUUGUGUUGUAAAACAACAAAAUUAUAUGAAAAUGUAUCUUAUUAAAAGAUACAUCCAUAUGAAAGGGUAUCUCAUGAAAAGAUACACCUAUUAGAUGUCUAUAUAAAAGAUUUUUCUGUUAGUUAUUUAAAUUGUUUUGCUUGGAGUGUUGAGGGCUUUGUUGUAUCUUGAAGGUAUUUUAAAAUCUUAAAGAAAGUGCUCUACACACCUUAAAGUCAUUAUAUUUUAUAACAUUAUUUUAUUUUUCUAACUUUUAUUUUCCUAUUAUUUAUUUUUCUAACAGCUAGAAUAUAGGAAAAUUAUUAUGUUUCUAGCUAUAUAUUGAAUACAAGUAUGUUGGUGUUUAGAACUCGAACUUUGAUGGUUGAUCGAGAGAUUUGAAGCAGAAAGAAGAGACGGGAAGUUUUAAGUAGAAAAAUAAUUGAAGACUGGAAUAUAUAAUUGAUUUGCACCUCAACUAUUUAAAUACAAAAGUUCAAGCUAAAAAUAGAAAAAAAAAGUUCUAAAAAUCUGCUAAAAAUCUGGUAACAAAAUAGCAAACAAAUCAAAAAUCUAAUCUCCUAAAGUCAAGGAGAAUUAUUCAAACUUAGUAACAGAAAAAAUUUAAAUGGCAGCAAUCUUAAACACAUGAUCUUAACACUCCUCCUUGUUUAGAUGCUACAAACUCCAAGUUUCUUCCUGAAGCUUUCAAACUUGCUAAGUGGCAAUGGUUUGGUGAAGAUAUCUGCAAUUUGAUCUUCAGAUUUGUAGUAACAAAGAGACACAUCACCACUCUUUUAAACUUCUCGAACAAAAAAUAACUUGAUGUUAAAAUGCUUAGUCUUCCCAUGAAAGACUGGAUUGUUAGAGAUUGCAAUGGCAGCCUGGUUAUCAACUAGAAUCUUUGUGCUUUGCUUCUACUCCAUGUUUAGAUCAACAAGAAUCUUCCUUAACCAGAGAGCUUGGUUAACUGUUGCUGUUGCAGCCAUAAAUUCUGCCUCAACAGUGGAUUGAGCUACAGUUUCUUGCUUCUUCGAGCUCCAAGAGAACAUGCCUGAUCCAAGGCAAAAACAAUAACCAGAGGUACUCUUCAUAUCAUCAGUUAAGCCACCCCAAUCACUGUUAGAGAAACCAAUCAACUUCAAUUCCCUAUGCUUUAAAAACUUUACUCCAUAAUUCCAGGUCCCCUUGAUGUAUCUGAUAACUCUUUUUGCAGCUCUCAUGUGAGUCUCAUUGGGACAAUGCAUGAAUCUGGAGAGAAUACUUACAGCAUUCAAGAUGUCGAGUCUGGUUGUUGUUAAGUACAUUAGACAACCUACCAAACUCCUGAACUCAGCUUCAAUGACUUUGGCAGAACCAUCAUCUUUGAUUAGCUUCUCUUUUUGAUUCAUAGGAGUACUCAUUGCUUUGCAAUCUUCCAUAUGGAAUUUUCUAAGUAUCUCCUUUGCAUACUUUCUUUGACAGAUGAACACUUCAUCUUGGCUUUAUUUGAUCUCAAUGCCAAGGAAAUAAGACAUCAGAUCAAGGUCUGUCAUUUCGAAGACAUUAUGCAUUUCCAAUUUAAACUGAUUAACUUGAUCGAUAUUGCUCCUUGUAAUCAAUAAGUACAAAUAAGCAAGCUUUUUCCUUUGAUUUCCUUAUCUUCUUUUCUUUUUGUGCUUUAAUCUGUGCCACAGUAGGAUUUGCUGGAAGAGGUGGGACCUCGUAAUCCUCUUCUACAGGUUCCCAAAGAUCCAAAGCCUCUAUGUAAGUCUCCAUGCGAACUGCCUACAUCUGGUAAUUGUCUCCAUCGAAGACUGGUGGUGCAGCAACUGAAAAACUGGACCCUCCUUCCAUAUUAACACGCAAAUAACCUAACAAAUCCCUCAAGAAAAUAGCUCUGAUACCAAUUUGUUGGUGUUUAGAACUCGAACUUUGAUGGUUGAUCGAGAGAUUUGAAGCAGAAAGAAGAGACGGGAAGUUUUAAGUAGAAAAAUAAUUGAAGACUGGAAUAUAUAAUUGAUUUGCACCUCAACUAUUUAAAUACAAAAGUUCAAGCUAAAAAUAGAAAAAAAAUGUUUUAAAAAUCUGCUAAAAAUCUGGUAACAAAAUAGCAAACAAAUAAAAAAUCUAAUCUCCUAAAAUCAAGAAGAAUUAUUCAAACUUAGUAACAGAAAAAAUUUAAAUGGCAGCAAUCUUAAACCCAUGAUCUUAACAAAGUACUACUUGGAAGCCAACACCCACAAACAUGAUAAAAGUUAAUUUUGAUGAGAGUUUUGACAUGGAAGCAAGAAAUGAGGAAGAGGGUAGUUAUGCAGCAUUGUGAUGAUUUUUUAGUCUGACUAUGCAACCAUCCAAUUUAGGGUGCAUUCUCCAUUGUGGUGAAAAAGCACUUAAAGAACAUUUGGUUUUUGCACUUAAAAUGUGAUGGAAAAAUGUUUUUCCACCCAAAUACAAAAACUAGGAUAUAAAUGUUUUUGACUUUUAGCUUUUAUGUUUGGAAGUGAAAAUUAUCAAAAUAUCAUUAUUUAUAUUAACUAUUUAAAUGGUAUAUAAAAAUUAGAUUAAUUUAUAUUUUAUAUAUCAUUAUAUUAAAUUAUUUAAAUAUUAUUUAUUAUUAUAUAUUUUAAUAAUUUAUAUAUCAUCUAUUUUACAAAUAAUUUAUAUUAAUUACUUAAAAAAUAUUUGGAACUUAUAUUUCAUGUAUCAUUAUAUUAAAUUAUUUAAAUAUCACAUAAUUUAACUAAUUUUUUACUUUCCACUAUCAUGUCUAAAGAAAAGGAUAUUUUAACUUUUAACAAGAAUUUUUUGUAGCAAUGGAGAACACCAAAAAUUAAUAAACACACUUUUUCAUAGUAAUUUUCAACCACACUUUUCAACCGCAACCCUAAUGAAGAAUUAAUCCUUACUAAAGUUACCGAAGCACUAGCUUCCACCGUAGCCAUUGAAAUGGCGCUCCAAUUGGGAUUGCAACACAUUAUUAUUAAAGGAGAUGCUCUCCAAGUGGUUUCGGAGUUGAAGGAAGACAAAGGAGACCUACCAACAACCGGACCUUGAUAGCAAAGAGUUGAAUACUUGCUAAACAGGUUCAGCAAUGUAGGUUUCAACACAGGAAGAGGCAUGCUAAUGAGGUGGCACAUCAUCUGACCAAACAGGGCCUUAAUUGUUUUCCAUCUUUUGUUCAUAUGUUUGUUUUGAAAAGGUAAAACAAAUCCUCACCUAUUGAUGUUAGAACGGUUGAAUUGCUAAAAGCAUGCUGCAUGCAUAACCAUGCUUUAGGUUAGGCUUCAAAUUAAAUAAAUUUUAAAUUAUUUUUAUUUAAAUUUAAUUAUAAAAAUAAAUUAAUAUCAAUAGAAAAUUAUAUAAAAUUUUAAGAUAUUUUAUUUUUCAAUAAUAAAACGAAUCAUUCACCAAACCUAAUUCUUCAAUUUCUUUUUAAUUAGAUCACAACUCAAGCCAAGCUAACCAAUAAACACCCAAAAUCUACCAUCAUUUUCAUUUUCAUUUUUUUUUCUUUUGUGACAAAGUAGACAGAAGAUUCGGUUUGGAUAAGCUCUACGUUAUUAAGUCAAAAGCUGAAGUAAUUUUAAUCAUAAAUUGUUUUAUUUGUCUAUAAUGCAAAACAAUGACCCAGUUAGUACAAUAAAGCUUUAACUUUGUGGAACAUUUCAGUCCAAAAAAAAAAAAAAAAAGAAUUGUGGAAAUUUUAGAGCAGUUGACCAUUUCUUCGGAAUUAGUUUUCUCACUUCUUGUCCAUAUUCCAUGUAUAUUAUUUCAAGAAAUUAGGUUUAGAAAUUUGCAUAAUUCAACCAUUGAACUAAUAAAUAUUAAACAAAAAUUGGGUGGCAAAAAAAAUCUUAUUAAAAUCAUAUACUAUUACUAAAAUUUAUGAUUAAAUUAGUGUCACGAGUUAACGGGACAUUAACAAAUUAUAUUAUUUGAGGGUAUUUUAAUCUUUUUAUUAAAAAAGAUGAUGUCUCAAAUUAACUCACAAUCUAAUCUAAUUUUUCAUUUUAAUAUUGUAAAUAUUUCAUGUUUUAUUAUUAAUUUGUUUCAAAUUAUACAUUUCAUUAUUUAUUUUAUGUUAUUUUUAAACACAUCUGUAUUCUAAGUACCUAAUUUUCACUUAUGGGUAUCAGAGGCGAAUCUAGGGAGGCUGAUAGGGGUCUCGGUCCCCUUAAAAUAGAAAAUUAUUAUUUAAGCCAUUUAGAAAAUUUUAAAAUUUUAAAUUAGUAAAUGUAAAAUUACACUUUGACCCCUCUAAAAUUAUAAAAAUUUGAUUUAAUCCUUUAAAAAUUAUAAAGAUAUAAACUAUUAAAAAUAAAAAUUUCAUUUCGGCCCUGCCUAAAAAAUUUUUUUGACUUCACCCCUAAAGUAUGAUAGAGUUUCUAGUAUGAAUAAUUUUCUUUGGAAGUGUUAAACAAACAAAGGAGUUAAGUAAACAGUAGUUUUCAUACAGAAAUAUUCGGCGUUGAUGUUUCCCUUUCGAAUAAUUAAAUUAAGACUUAGGAAAAGGGAAAACAAUGAAAAAGAAACUAAAAUUGAGCUUAAUUUAUGGAGUUGGGUUAAAAUUUUAAUAUUUAAAUAUAAAAAUUCUAAUAAUUUGAUCUGGUCCGUUUCAUCUAGCAGACUAAUAAUAAAUCUUAAAACAUAUUAUAUUUUAAUUUAAAUAAAACCAAAACUAAUACACUUGACCUACAUCUACAUGUGAUCUAUGCUUCAUUUAAAUUAGUCUAAAUUAGACGAGAUCUUGAUUAGGAGUCAUUUAUUUAUAUUAUAAGUCCCUGAAACAUGCAAAACUUACAUUUAAAAAUUAAUAUUUUUACGUUGUUGUUAGAAUAUAGGGUUUGUUAAUGUUUUCGUGUGAAGUCAGCUGUUGACAUUACCAAUCAGAUAAUGAAAAGGAAACAUGGCAAUUAUUCCAUCCUAAUUGUCACCAAAUUAAGUUAAUCCAAAAAUUACCAAACGUUUAGUACUUCAAUGGUAGAGUCAGCUCUUUCUUCUAGUCUAUCAAAAAAAGUCAAUUUAACCCCUAACUCUUGGAUGGAAAAGUUUUUGCUAUGAACUUGUUGAAGUGAAUCUCAUGUGAUAUAAACGCAUCGCAAUCUCCGUGUGUAACUAAAAAUAUUUGAGAGAUUGAAUAAUUUAAAGGGGAAAAAAAAAGAAUUUACUCCCUCCACUAACAAAUUACUCUUGCCAACGUAUGUAUGAAAGUAAACACCUUUAAUUAAUCAACAAAUGCUAAAGUUCGAGGUUUAGAAUUAAUUAAAUACCAAUAUAAAUAGUUAAUUACUUUUUUGAAAUAAGGAUAAAUCAGUUUGUGAGGUUUGAAUUUUUUGUAUCUUAACAAUUGUUCUGACUUUAGAGUUUGAAGGUUUUUUUUUUAUCCAAAUUAACCUAUGAACUUAGUAAUUUGUCUCUCAUUAAGGUUUAAAUUUUUUAUUUAUCUAAGUUAAUUCUUAAAAAUCUUGAAAUUCGAGAAUAAUUGUCAAGUUAAAAAAAUUUAGAUUUCAAUAUGAGAAUAAUCUACUAGUUCGUAACCUUAAUAUAAAAACAAUUGUUAAGUUGAAAACUUAAUUUAAAAACAAAUUCAAACCCUUCUUAAGUUUACGAUUUAACCCUUUGAAAUAUUGCGUUAACUAGUAAGAGUAAGAAUUAUUUUGUGUUGAUGAUUAAAUAAAUAUUUAAGUGGAGAUCAAGUUUUACCUCAUUUGUCAAUUGUCAGGUGAAGAAUAUAUACCCCUAAAGGCCUAUCAAAAACGGACCUAUCUCUAUCUAUAUAUCUUAACUAAUUUACUAUUCAUUUUUAAUGAAAAUCAAUAAAUCAAUGAAAACGUUAUAAAAAGAAAACUACGUGAAUAAAUUAUAUGUGUAAAAUUGAAAUAUUUCUUAUUUUAGUACAAUGGUAAGGAACAUUACAUUUUUAAGGAAAUGAUGUCAGGUUCAAACCUUAAAGAUAAUAUUCUUCUUCUUGAGAAGAACAAUCCCAAACUCCAAAAUGAACCCUUAUGAAUUAUAUAAAAAAAUUUUGAAAUAUUUCUAUAAAAUAUCAUUAAAGUUUUUUAUUUAAAAAAUGUUAUGGGUAUACUUUUACCUCUUGUAAAAAAGUCUUUCAUUUCUCAAUUCUUAUGGCAUAGUAAAUUUAUCAUUAAUUUUCAUCUUUAGGUAAAAAAAAUGGUUAUUAUUUGUGUAUUAAAUAAUUGUUAGGAUAAAUUUUAAAAUUGUAUAUGAAUUUUGGUUUAAUGUUAAUUAUAUACAUUAAUUUUAAUUUUAUGUAAUUUUAUAAAUGAAAUUUUAAUUUGAUCCAAUUCUAACAAAUUAUUAACACAGUUAUUGAUAUAACAUCAUUUUAUGUUUAUAUGCUAUAUACAGAAAUAAUUAUGUUUAUUCAAUAUAAAAAUAAAUUGAUGUAUUUAUUUCUUUAAACAUAUAUGAUUGAAUCAAAAUUAAAACAUCGUGUAUAUAUUUGAACCACAAUUAAAAUUUUACAUAUAAAAUUACAUAAAAUUACAAUUUAUAUACGUAAUAAACUAAAAUUCAUAUAUAAUUUUAAGAUUUAUGUCCACAAUUCUCUAAAGCUAAACGGUGAUGAUUACCAUGGAAAUUCAAUGUACUUAACUAAUUGGUUGAUAGGAACAGGCAUGAUGAAAUCCAUGAUGGGAAGAGAGAGAAUUCAAAAACUGGAAUGCCCCCAUUAAUCCAUGCAAAUAAACUUUUUCGGUAUUACAUCAUAAUUCAUUUAAUUUUAUCAUCAUCUCUAUGCCAUAACCAUGUUUAAAGUAAAAUACUUAUAUAAAUUGAGACAUUAAUAGUUUGUAUUAUAUAAAUUAUGACAUCCAUAUAUCCAUAUUAUAAUUUUUAUGAAAAAUUAGAGCUGGCAGAUAAAAAAUGGCUUACUGAUCAAUGAAAAAUAAACUUUAUUUCUUGUAAAUUGACUUAUCCUUUUAAAAAGUAUAAAUAUUUUUUUAAAAUUCAUUUAUGAGUAAUUUUAUUAUUAUAAAAAUUAAUUUUGCAAAGUCUAAUAUUAUUAUAUUAAUAAUUUUAUUUUAAAACUAUUUAAAAAUACUAAUAUCAAAUAUUAUAAUGUUGAAUCCUAGUAACAUACAUAUUAAAUUAUUUAAAUUAUGUAAUAUUGCAAUUUUAUUUUAAUACUAAAUUUUAACAACAAUAAUUUUAAAUUUUAGAUCAUAUUUUUAAUAUAUUAUUGAAAAAUAUUUAUAUUAAUAUUUUAAUAAUAAAUAUAUAUAUUAAAAUUUAUAAAUAUUUAAUAAUAAAUGUUUUAUAGUAUAAAAUAUGAAUAUUUUAAUUAUAUAGAUAUGAGCAUUUGUUUAAAUCAUGUUUAGUUUCAUUUAUCUCCCAACUAUAAUGUGUUAUUAUACACCGUCAUAUAUAUAAUAUAUGUAAUUUAAGCAUUGUUUAUUAUUAAAUUUAUAUAUGAUAUUAAUUAUUAUAAAAUAUUAUCUUAUUAUAAAAGAAAUUCUAAUUAUCAAAAAGAAAUGUUACUUUAAUAUUUUGUAACAAGUAUAUUUAUGUUGGGCUUGUUUCAAUAAUAACUUUAAAAUGAUUUUAGAAAAAAAAUUGUCAAAUAAUAAAAAAAUAUUUUAAGCAAAAUAAUUCAAACACAAAAAACUAUCAACUUUUCCAUAAAAUCAAUCCAAUUUUAAGAAAACAUUUUGUGAAAAUUGUUUUAGGUAAAACAAAAGGAACCUAUAUUUUAUAUAGUAUUUGAAAAGUUGUUGUAUCUAGAAUUAUUAUCUUAAAUAUUUUUUUAGGUCUAAUUUUAAAUUUCAUCCCUUUAUGAAAAUUGAGAAGUUAAAUUUUCUAUUUUACUUUAUCAGUCUGUGCUUGAUUGUUUAUUAAUUUGUCGUGUAUAAAUGGUUAAAUUAUUGAUUUUUGUUAAUUACUAGCAUGUAAAUUGUCAAACUACUUGUUCUCAAGGGAACGGUAAAGUUUAAUAGUAUUAUCAAUUUAGAACAAUUUUUGAGUUUUUUCUUUUAUUUUUCAUGUUCGAGUCCAUAAUUACUCCUUCUAAUAAUGUCGUCUUUAAAGUUUGAGUUCGAAUUCAAAUUCUCUUUUUGGAAGUACAAUAUGCCUUAUAAUUAUACCUAAUACUUUUGAUUUUUGUAAAAUAUAAGAAUCAAAAUUGUGUAGUAGGAUUAAUUUCUAGAUUUUUUAAAUUUAAAAUUUAUAAUAUUAUCAAUCGCAUCACACACAAAACCAAAGAACAAGAGAAUCUAAAAAACACGUGGACCAUUAAUUUAGGAAUGGACAUUAUAUUUUAUUAGUGGAAUAAACUCAUGCAAAAUGGUUGGAAAACACAUACAGGAUUAUAUAUACUAAUCAUUUUUAUUAUUAAGCAGAAUCGGAAAUAAAUAAAUACGAGCGAAACCACUGAAUAAUACAGCAUUGAAAUGCAAUUUGUCUACAUCAUUAUUGUUCUUCACUUCAAACGCGGAGACUAGUCUAGGCUCCCAAUCUUUUGCUUUAUCUCUCUAGAUAUAUCCUUUUCAAACUAUCUUUUUGUAGCUUUAUUUGCAUCACAGCAUUAUCUUUUCCUGCAAACAACUGUUCAAUGAUUAAAACAUGCAAAACAUUCUGAAAUAAUGCACCCUUACCAGAUGACAAAAAAAAAAAAAGAUUCUAAUGUAUCUUACCUUGGAUUGGAGCACGGUCAAAGCCGUGGCUUAGUAGUGGUGAGGAGGAGGGGGUGAAGCGUAGACAUAAUGGGGUGGUGGUGGUGGAGGAGACUUGUAUUUGUAAACUGGAGGAGGAGGUGGUGGAGACUUGUACUUGUAAGGGUGCUUGGGGGGUGAUGGUGGGGGUGGUGGGGGUGACUUGUACUUGUAGGGGUGCUUGGGUGGUGACGGUGGGGGUGGGGACUUGUACUUGUAAGGAUGCUUGGGGGGUGAUGGUGGUGGUGGUGGAGGUGACUUGUACUUGUAGGGGUGCUUGGGUGGUGACGGUGGGGGUGGGGACUUGUACUUGUAAGGGUGCUUGGGUGGUGACGGUGGUGGUGGUGGGGGGGACUUGUACUUGUAGGGAUGCUUUGGUGGGGAUGGUGGUGGUGGUGGUGGGGACUUGUACUUGUAGGGAUGCUUAGGUGGUGAUGGUGGUGGUGGUGGAGACUUGUAUUUGUAAGGAUGCUUUGGUGGUGAUGGUGGUGGAGGUGGUGGGGACUUGUACUUGUAAGGGUGCUUGGGUGGUGAUGGAGGUGGAGGUGGUGGAGACUUAUACUUGUAAACUGGAGGUGGUGGGGGUGGAGACUUGUACUUGUAAGGGUGCUUGGGUGGUGACGGAGGUGGAGGUGGUGGAGACUUAUACUUGUAAACUGGAGGUGGUGGGGGUGGAGACUUGUACUUGUAAGGGUGCUUGGGUGGUGAUGGUGGGGGUGGGGGUGGCGACUUGUACUUGUAGGGGUGUUUAGGUGGUGAUGGUGGUGGUGGUGGUGGUGGUGGGGACUUGUACUUGUAAGGAUGCUUGGGUGGUGAUGGUGGUGGAGGAGACUUGUACUUGUAAGGAUGCUUGGGUGGUGAUGGUGGUGGAGGUGGUGGAGACUUAUACUUGUAAACAGGAGUUGGUGGGGGAGGAG
rnacentral:lncRNA from 1 species